rnacentral:lncRNA from 1 species
AAAGAUAGGAAUCUACCGCAGGCUGAUUUCGGUGUGUUCAGUAUGAAUUUCUGCCCUCUUUGCAUAAACGUGUAAAGGCUUCCCAUGUUAGCCGCGUGCAGACUGCUUCAAUCCCUAGUAGAGGUUGGCUUUUACUCCAGCCAUGUGCAAGAUCAAGUCCACAACUCGGUUACUGCAAGACAUUCACACGAUAGUCAGAACGAAACUACCAUAUAUCCUACCGAGUUCCACCACGAUGCCCACCAAGAUGCACAAUCGAAAAAGCCAAACACAUAACCCAAAUUACCUGUAGCCCCACUCGUUGUCAUACCACGACACCAACUUCACGAACUUGUCGCUCAAGGCAAUUCCUGCCUUAGCAUCGAAGAUGCUCGACCUGUAUCGACAUUACAACACCAUUAGUGUCACGACGCUACUAAUUCCACAAACAAGUCCGUCCCAUCCAAAAUCAACAACCUUACCUCGCAUCACCAACGAAAUCAUUGGACACAACAUCGUCCUCAGUGUAACCCAAGAUGCCGUACAUCGGCCCCUCAGAAGCGGCCCUGCAAUCAUUCGCACAAAACCAUACCUCCCAACGUCAGUGGCAGCGACUUGUUACUGGGCACCUCAAACUUGAACAACAGGUAAGCAUCACUACACUUGAAAACAGCUGCCACAAAGCAGCACCCCCAGACGAUCCCUCACUUGAUGGCUGCCUUGAUGUCCUCGUAUGAGCCGCUCUUUUGGAGACGCACAGUCAGAUCCACCACAGACACAUUGGGAGUCGGGACACGGAAAGCCAUACCGGUGAGCUUCCCAUUCAGCUCUGGCAGCACCUUGCCCACGGCCUGUUUGAAAAUCCCGAACGAGGAAAGCGACGAUCAGGCCAAUGUUGAAUCAGUGCAGACAAUUCCGCUCACAUAACUUACAGCAGCCUCAUGAGUGCACUCGCCAAGGAUUCAACUGUCGUGCACAGUACCUUUGCAGCUCCAGUUGAGCUAGGAAUGAUGUUCUGUCCAGCACCACGUCCUCCACGCCAGUCCUUACCAGACGGGCCGUCCACAGUCUUCUGGGUGGCUGCACACAGACAACAUUCACGUCAUCAUCCAAAUAAGUCCUGCUCAUUGUAAAAGCACCCACAAAUAUGACACCCCAGUCAUGCUCCAAGACCUCUGCAGGAACCAUCAUUACCAGUGGUGGCAUGCACAGUGGUCAUGAGCCCUUCCUCAAUGCCGAAGUUGUCCUGGAUCACCUUUGCAAGAGGUGCAAGACAGUUGGUAGUGCAACUGGCGUUGGACACCACGUUCAUGCUGUCCUUGUACGACUGCUGGUUCACACCCAUCACGAACAUGGGCGCAUCGCCAGAAGGUGCGGAGAUCACCACCUUCUUGGCACCACCCUUGAAGUGAGCAGAGGCUUUGUCAACGGCAGUGAAGACACCGGUAGACUCUACCACGAAGUCGGCUCCAACUGAUCCCCAUGGGAUUUCAGCAGGGUCCCUGCGGACAGGUCGAGAACUUUGUAUGAGGACGAAUUCAUCCAGGGGACAUCGCACCAGUUCGCGGAAGCAUCAGCCACAACCGAGACCGACCAUGUAAGAACACCAAAAUAUAGGUUUACCUGCAUCCGAAGACCUUGAUGGUUUGAGAGCCAACUUGCAAAGUAUUGUCGUCUACAGCAUUCACCUCGGACUUGAGGAGCCCAUGGGUAGAGUCGUACUUCAACAAAUAUGCCUACAGAACAGAUUCACCUAUCAGUUUACGGUCUCACAAACCCACUGUGAUUUGGGAUGAAACUGAGAAGUCCGUUAUCAAUGACACAGGAACGCCAAUUUUUUUGAUGAUCGAGGCGACAGUAUUAAGAGGGCUUAGCAUACCAUGUACUUGGUGUCAAUGAAGGGGUCGUUUACGGCAACAACUUCGACAUCGUCCCUGGCGAGGAUGACACGGAGAACAAGUCUUCCAAUCCUCCCACACCCAUUGAUUCCAAUUCGAAUCUUCUCUUGGCUUCCCGACUCUGAAAAAUAAACAAAGUAUGAUCGCCGAAACACAGAUCCAAUAAGAUCUUAAUUCAAGUACACUAUUCAUUGUGCAUUCUGAAGAUCAACUGAAGAGCUUUACUUGUUGUUCUCACGGGAAAUUCGGUAGCAGUCGCUCUCACUGUGAAAGACCUGCUAAUCGACCUGCAUUUCUGGGAUCAAUAUCAGAGUUCGCCCCUCGCGAAUCAAGAUUAAAUCCAUGAAUUACAUGGUAAAAGGGUGUGUACUAUUCACAUGAGUCCACAUCAACUUGAUCAAACCUAGUCUGAAUUUGUCUUCCAGGAAACGACUCGGCACCUGGAAACGGGAGAUGCAGCCACCCUCAAACUCUUGACGGAUCCUGCGAAAGAGUCUUCGGCGGAGAAGCUCACAUUCUUCUUUUGGGCACAUACCUGUCAAAACAAACUCCUUAAUCACAUAGUUUUGGUAUACGCCUCCAGGUUUCUGUCCGAAACUCAUUUCAGUGAUGUAGCAAAAGAAUACAUUACUUACAUGGACAAAUGGAGGAUCUUACGGCAAGAUGCUUUGACUUCGAAACCGAUAAAGGAGAAAAUAUCACGAGAACUAACACGCAAAUAGGAUUAACAUUGGAUCAUACUUUACUCAGACAAGACCGAGUGAGUGAAAUGGACGCACCCCUGAGGUGGAGACUGAGACGUGUCCCCUGCUAGUGGACGACGCCCUUAGGGAGGAGCUGCCGAGAGCAGCAGAAGAUCGGAUCAUCGCUGUUGCGGCCAUCGUAGUCUCUGUUAAUCAGCUCUGAGAGUCCAACACCCAGAAAACCACAAUCUCAGACGUCGAUAAAAACCAAUAUUAUACUUCCACCAUGAGAUAUUCCCCGUUGAGCGAACUCAAACUAUAGAGACCAAUGUCGCAACAUGCACUUGCACGAUCUAAAACCACAAGCCCUUAACCCACGCUGAAAAAACCAAGCCGCCUACUUAGCUUAAAGCAUUGAUGUACACGACAAUUCUAAAAAUAAAAAAAUAAUAAAAAAAAACGCAAAGCCACUGGUCGACUGCAAAAAAGAAGAAAUGCUGUGAAGCUUGAGAAACCCAGGUCCCAUAGAUCGAGCACUUACACUGAUCAAGCGAUCGGUUGGAGGGAAGACCAACACCGCGAUCAACAAAAGAGACUAAGAGACGGCUGCGACGGAAAACACAAUGGCAUCAGUGGAAACCGCAGCAAACUUGAACCCCCUGAUGAUCGCCAAAGAAAGCAUUUGGAUGAAUGAACCUGCUUCUCCUUCUUCUUCCCUCUCGCCGGCAUGGAACCAACCCUCGAGUGGGUUGAAGCGCCAGUCAGCCAGCCAGGGCUUCGUCUUCUUCGUCCGAUCUGAGCAUCUCUUCCUUCCGACACCCCGCUUGCUUUUCUCCUUCUCUCCAGCCGCCAAGUAUAGCUCCACCGUGUACCGGUCUAGGUAUGAGCCCCGCUACCACCAACCCAGUCUCGCUUUGCGACCUUGCGUGUGAUUGGGAAGGUAGGAGAGGGAGGGAAGAGCGAUUGUAGGGUUUGAGGACAAUCGGGAAUCUUCGGGAUGGCAGCGGAAACGGGGGGGUAGAUAUGACAUAAAAAGGGUGUGGAGACAGGCAUUACAUGUCUGUGCUGUGCGUGGGAUAAGUAUGAAUGGUGACUACACAAUGAAGGUGUUUAGUUAAUCGACAUUCAACAGUUCCUCUCGUUGUCCUGUAGCUCGUGGCUUCGUUACGCCGCAUUGGAACCAGAGCUUAGAAGUUGCACUGCAUUGGAGUCGGGGUCCGUUUCGAAGAGCCAAAGAGCAAUCCCCUCCGGGGGUCAUCCUACGUGGCGUGUCACUGAAAUACUGAGCUAUUUUAUUGAUUGUGGUCCCUUUGCUAUGGUUGGAAUGCACGACCUCCGGUGGCGAGAAUGUGUCCUUGGCAGGGUCACAUGGUUCGGGCUUCUUCAUGGUUAACAAAUCUGAGAAAAUGAAAUUAACUGAUCCUCAGUUCUGCAAUUGAUGCUUUUUCUAUAUUCCAGCGCAUUUCCACUGCUGCAAUUUCUGAUAGGUUGUUUUGCGUGUGAUGGAGUAAUGGCUCUAUGAAGUAUCAUGAAAUCGUUGCAUGAUUAGGAUUCGUGUUCGAGGCAAAUGGUUUGGUGGAUGCACAAUGUCCAAAAGAUCUGAUUGAAUCUCCAUUUUACGUAAUACGUGAUUUAGUUUUAAAUUCUGCCAGAUCGAACUCUUCAUCACUAUCGUGUGAUAUCAUUUCAUAUUAUAGUCAUCGCACUGCUGUAAUAGCAUUUCACAUCAAGCCAUGUGAAUAGUUAAGGGAUCUCGGGCUUAAAUUUUUUGGAAUAAUCUCGAAUACUUAUUUUCAACUUUUGUUGGUAGGCAACACACACACACACAUAUAUAUAUAUAUAUAUAUAUAUGUGUAUAUAUAUGUAUAUGUGUAUAUAUAUGUAUAUGUAUAUAUAUAUAUAUAGAUGUAAGUUUAAAACCUAUAGAUUAAUCGUGUUUCUAGAGGAUUGCGGCAACAGAGGUCUCCAUCGCGAAAUUAUUAUUCUGCUGUUUGGAAAUGUCGGCAUUCCAAAGGUAUACUCCUGCAAUGCUGUUGGUUGUUUUGAUGUCUUGGACGCAAUUGAUGAACGUUUGGCCAGUAAUGGUGUUGGGAUCCCCCGCCACUUGAGUGCUAAGCCCCACUAUGUUGGAGGGGAAAUUCUGAAUCACUUGCGCGUACCUUGCCUUGUACUUUGCACAUGUGUCGAGGCCUUCGCCGUAGAACUGGUAAUUCACAGUGUCGAUGUAGCUGCUGUAGGCGUUGUAGAGGGCCGUGUACCUGGCCAGCUGAUCAUAGCCGGGGGCCACGCUUACAAACUUGAUCACGCCAUUGUUCUUCAAAGUCGUGAUCAAUCCUCCGAUGAGAGACUGAAAUGUAGAACCCGUGCCCGUGGGAAACCGUUCGAGGUCAAUAUCGAUCCCAUCGGCGCCGUAUGUGUUGACAAUCGUCGUAAUGGAUGAGACAGCGUUUUGAAGCCAUCUGGUUGUAUUAGCAGGAUCGUACCAGUUCACAUUGUAGACGCCACUGUUCGUGUAGAGCUGAGAUCCUCCUAUGGCUAUGACAAUCCUGCCGUUGUUGUGAGCUUGCCUCCACGAUUUCGCCGCAGCCGGUGUCAGAUUCCCGGCCGCGUUGUUCCAAUAAACUGAAUGAACUCCAUUUUGCGUGGCUCCAGUUGAGCUCAUAUCGAUGGCGAAUGAUAAGCCCAGCACCCAAACCACGUCAGUGUUAGUGACGGGUAUAUCGUUGUAAGUUAUGGCCACUCCGUUAGAUCCAAGGUAAUCGAACAGCAUCCUCCCGGGAUAAAGCCCCUUCGGCGCUGCAUACGAGCACUGGGUCUGGCAACCUGAGUCACAGUAAGCGCUCGUUUGCCCGCAAUACCCAUAUUGGCUGCAACACAAGUUGUUCUGGCACUUUGCACCGCCUGCUUGGGAACCACAAGUCUGCGCAGAAACUACCUCAGAGAAUGCGAAAAAAACCAGAACCACGAGUGGCACUACCACCUUCAGCGGUCGUCGAUCCCCACUGUAAUUCGUCAUAGCAGAAGAACCCAAUUGGACUGUCCUCAGCUGAAGGUCCAGAAGACACUCAACGAAGACUUGAGCUGCAAUUCACAGAGCCAAUGUGAUCACUGUCCGAUUGAUUGUAAGAGAAUGAGAACAUAGACGCAACAACUUAUACUGCCCCUGCGUCCUACUUGACUUCGCAAGCAUUUCCACUUGUCACCCACAUAUCUUCUUUCGUGACAAGGAAGUCAAGCUAGUUGCAAUUGACCUCCUCCUCCUCGUCGCAUCUCAUGAGGUGGGGGAUUUUCACUUGUAAAGAAACGUAUGAUAUAUGAUAUUUGUGUGACAUAUGAUAUUUGUUGCCAAAGGUUUGGACUAAGAUCGUUCGUACCUGGAUUACAAAUCUUCCCUGUAGCUUUCCACCCUUGUACAACGAAUUCAAAGACAAGAUAUAUUCUUGCACGUUUGUUACACGUUCGUUACAAAUUAGUGAUACACUUUUGUGCAAGUGACACUCCUUGUAACUCCCUUGGACUGAUGGUAAUCAGACAGAUUGAAUAAGUGGACAGGAAGAGUGCGACAAGGUGUGAUGAAAUGCUAGAUAAGAGUUGCUUUACAGUAACUGCAGCCGAGAGUUGUAAAAACAUGAAAGAGUCCGAAAAGACUUCAUGCUUGAAGAUAUCAAACUGACUUUUGUCGCGGUCUCAUAAUUUACAGUUUGACUUGAGGAAAUUGAAACUGUUCUUUUGGCCUGGCAAGUCACAUUUUAGAAGUUAAAGAUGAUAUUGAAGUGGUACACGGAAAUUAUUCACAUUAAUGGAAUAUAAAAUCAUUCUUUUAAAAAGGUAAAAAAAUUAUUAUGUAAGUGUGUGUAUGUAUAUAUAUAUAUAUAUAUAUAUAAGUUGGUAUUUUUCUUUAAAUUUCUUUAUUAGCUAAAGUGUUGUUAUAUAAGGUAAAAAUGUGUAACAAUUCAAAAUGAUCAUACACUAUAUGAAAAAGAAGUGACGUGAUGUGAUCCUAAAAAAGUACUUGUUCUAGAAACCAAAGAUUGUGGUCAUAUCCAUUCUACAAAUGAUGUGUCUCACUCCUUGUUAAAUGACUUUCUUUCAAUCUCUCUUUCCAUCUUAUUUGGUCCUUGAUCAACCUUCUUUUGCUUUAUUGUCCUUGCUACUCUAUGUACCAACAAAGCUCAAAAGCAAGUUGUUGUUGGAGUUUGACAUAGCUAAAACACAUCAAGCAGCAUCAUGCUCUCAAACAAUGUAAACCUCUUGCACAAGUCAAGAAGCAAAAGCACAAUUUUAACAUCUUAAAAUACAUAUACAUACAUAUACAUACAUAUACAUAUGUCUAUUCAUUUUUAUAAGAUAUGAUUUUUCAAAAAAUUAUGAAUAAUUCUUUUAAUGUUGAUUUGAUGAAUUAAAAAUAUUUUUUAAAUUUAUAAUUAAACAUAAGUGUAUUUAAUUUUAAGUAUGUAAAUUAAUAAAAUAAAAUAUAUAUUAAAUUUAUUUUAUUAUUUAUUUUAUUUAAAUUUUUAGAUUUUAGUAUUGAUAAUAUAAUAAUUUUAAUAAUACUAAUAGUACAAAUUUUGAAAUUAAUCAAAAUUUGAUUUGAAUUUUAAUCAUGUGUAUGGAUUGUCUUUAAAUAAAUUGAUGUACUUCUAGAAUUUUUAUGUUUAUUUCAUAUAUAUAUAUAUAUAUAUAUAUAUAUAUAUAUAUAUUACUUAGAAAAAAUUUAAAUUUUAACAUGGUGUUUUUAUUAGUAAAUUUAUACUCAUAAUAUUUAAUUUUUAAAGUAUUAAACUAUAAAAAGAUGUAAAUAUAAGGUGUUUUAUAAAUUACUUUUAAAAAUAUAAAUAUAUGUUUUUUUACAUAAAAAACAUCUGUAGUGUUUCAAAUUUUGUAAUAUUUUUUAAUAUUUAUUUUUUUAGUAGUACAUUGAUUUAUGUGAAUUUGAACUGUUUAUUUUUUAUUGUUGAGUAGGUAGUUGUUUAUGUUAGAUAAAUUGUGGAAAUAUGGUGAGUGGGCAAAGCAAACAGUUCGCCAAAUGACCAAAUUGUUUUUUGGAUAAAUGUCUAUAGUAACAUUUAUCCUUGUACUUCUAUUCUUUACACUAUUCUUCAAAAGAGUAAAAAUAUAUGCAUCAAAAUAAAAUCAAUAUAUUCCAAUAUUAUAGCACCAUAGCAUGGUAAAUUAUUAUCAUAUUAUCAUGCAUGAUAACUUUUCAUGUUGUAUUUGAAUAAAUGUGUUAAGUAAUUCUUAAACAUCAAAUUGUUACAAAUAUUGAGAUCUAGGAGUCACAAGUUUAAGUGUUUGAUUUAGAUAAAAGAUUUUUUAAAAUAAAUUAGAAAUGAUAUCUUCUAAUUACAUCCUAUUUAAUCUAGUUGUAUUAUUCUUUUUCAUUUUAAUUCUUAAUAUUAUUACAAGUAUUUAUAUCCGAUCAAAUUUUUAUAAAAACGUUUUAUUAUUAUUAAAUCAUUUGAGUACACUGUGUGUGUGUGUGUGUUUUUUUCUUUCUUUCUUUCUUUUUUUUCUUUUUCCGAAAUCAAAAUUGUGCGAUUUGCUAAAACAAUAUUUGUAAUAAUAGACGCACAAUAUUGUGUAACUAAACAAAGUUUUACUAUAAUUUUCUUGCAAAAAACUUUAUGGUGUGACUGGUGUCAACACCAAGUAAAAACUCCUGCACAAUUUUUAAUUCUUUUUGUGCAUGUAUUCUAGUCUUUUGUUUUUUUCUAAACAUUGUGUUCUGAAUUAAAGGCAUUGUAAAUGUUUAUCAGUGUAUUUUCUUUUAUAGCUUUUAAAUAUAUAUAUAUAUAUAUAUAUAUAUACACACAAUCAUUAGUGGAAACUUGUGCCAUUGGGCAGAAAAAAUAUUAUGCCACAAAGUAAGGCAAUAUAUGUGAAAUGACUACAUACAUUUUUAUAUUUUGUGAGAGGGCAACAUUCUGAAAAAUAUUUGACACAAAAUAAGACAACAUACAAUGACAAAGGGCAACAUACAAUAACCCAACUGUUGCUUUGAGUGCAAUACAUGAAAGGAAAACAUAAUUUUUUACAUCGUGAAGAGGCAUAUGUUUUUAAUGGUUUCUUAUUUAUUCAUAUCUUGUGUACAGUUAAGAAAUGAAUCAUGAGUGGUGUUUCAGAAGUCUGAAAAUACAGAUUCCAUAUUAUGUAGCAAAUGUUUUUUCAUUUAACAAUAUACAUACAUACAUACAUACAAACAGUGUUCUGAUGCUAUAGAAAGAUAAUGAAAGCAUGUGAAACCUUUUAAAGAUGUACAUAUCUUCUUUCAUUUGAUCAUAUUCCAAGUUUUUAAGAUCAUUCUUUUCACUGUAAGUAUUUGAAACACCUGCAUAGUUAUUUGUUUUUAGGUCAACUGCAUCCUAGCUGUGAUUGUCUUCCAAUUACAGCUAAAUAGAAAGGAAAUAUAUAUAUAUAUAUAUAUAUAUAUAUACACAUAUAUGCACAAGUUGAUGUUGAUUUGAAGAUAAUUAUGCACUUUAAAACAAUGGUAUUCUACAUUCUCACACCUCUAUUGUAUUGUCAUAAUUUAUUUCAAUGUUUUGUUGAUUGUAAUGUUACUAAAAAGAAGGCAUGUAGAGAAUUGAAAAAUAUUUUAUUUCAUUUCAAUUAUAAUCUGAAAUUUAAUGAUAUAUUCAUUACAACAAGAUCAUACUAUUAAAAAUACAAACAAUUGUCAUAGUGACGAUACAAGUGUUAUUGAUUGAAGCAAAGAUACACUUUAUUUUAAAAUUUGAAAUUUGAAAGCACCUGUAACACACUUAAAAAUACAAAUACAAAUCAAAAUUUAAAGUACAAAUAAUUUAAAACAUACAUCAAUUUUUGAAUAGUGUUAUAGGCACACAAUUUCUCCUUCUUUUUGCCACCCAAACCAUUGCUAUUUGCUUUUCAACAUUGUUCUCCAUUAUUCUCCCUCGUCACCACUCCAAACUUCUUGUAUUGUUCUUACUACUGUUUUUUUAUUCCAAAUUUUAAAUUUUCUUCUCUGUUGUUAUUGCACUUUGAUUCUUUUUGCUUCUCGCAUAAUUGUUCCUUUCUUAUGUUGUUUCAAUCAUUAAGUCCAUAUUCUUUGAAAAGUUGUUUUAAAAAUCUUUUAUAAUAUUAUACCUUAUUCCCUUCUUUGAAUUGUACUUCAUCCAAAAUUUUGGAUUCUUACACCAAUGCACUGAAUGUAAAUUUAAUUCUUAUAGUUGUCUUUAUCUAGCUUGAUGAAAAUUGAUGUUAAUAGUAAUAUCUUCAAAUUAUUUGCAUUUGUGCUAACUUAGUUUUUAUUCUAAUCUAAAUUUUAGCUUUUGAUUCCUAUGGACUUUGAUAUGCAAUUUGGUUGUUGUUUCUUCUUUUUCUCUUUGUUCUCCAUUUUCUUGUUCAAAUUUACUACCAAUACCAACUUAUUUGAGGGACAAAAUGAACAAUGAAGUUGGAUAUAUUGUUAUUGCAUUUACAAGGCCAUUUUGUGUAAAUAAAGAUUAUCAUCUACAAUUAGCUAUGAUGGCAAUACACACAUAAUUAGAGAUGAAUGCUAGCAAGUUGUUGCUACUAAAUAAUACACAACCAAGUCAAUGUUAUAGUAGCUAAAUUAUAAAAAACUUGUGGCAAAUAUUGAAGAAGGAGUUAUCAAUCUUUAUUAUUAGAUUAGAUGUGGUUGGAAGAUUUUCUACAAGAAAGACAAAUCCAAUCUUCUAAAGAAAGAUUUGAAGGAAGUUCUAUUAAACAUAUUAUAUGCUAUCUACGUUGAUAGUAAUUAUACAAUAGCAUGGUAGGAGGCUCUUUCUUCUCACCACACAUAAAAUAAAGAAGGCCCUUUGGAACAACUACAAGUUUAUGAUAUAUAUAAUUAUUUAGGAAGAUGACAUAGAAUACAAUUCUUUAAAUGUUCAUGACACUCAUAUCUAUUCUUGUUUUUAAGCAAUAAAAUAUUCUUAGAAAACAUAUUCUUUUCAUAAAGAAUUGUACACCUUGUCUUAACAUUAAGUAUUGUAGGCACUUCACAUUGCAAAUACACAUGAUAUUUUUUGGAAAAUCUUUACAAUUGAGGUUGAUAAGUUUUGUUGCAAAUAUAAAUAUAUUAUAAAGUAUGACAAUGUUGAGUAAUACAUAAUUUUUUCAUAGCCAUGGACAUGGUUUUUUUAGAAACUUUAUUUGAUUAUAUACACAUUGAAUUUAAAUAUCAAGGUCAUCUAAAUUCACAAUUAAAGUCAAUAUCUUAUACAUUGAAUUUAGAAGAAUUAGUUCUCUUCCAUUCAAUAACUGAUAAAGACUAUAAAAUACCAAAGAUUCUUACCUACUAAGAUGGUGUCCAAUUGUAAUCUAUGACAAUAUUAAGUUUCAAUCUUAAUGAUUGUCUUAAAAAAAUCUAUAAUUUUAUAAAUCACUCUUAAUAGUAUAAAAAAAUUCAUUCAACUAAAUAAUCUUUCUUAAGAUUAUUUCUAGAGGUAGUGUAAUAAUCUAUCAAAACCUUAAUAUUCAAAGCUUCAAAAGCCCCAAUAAACUACUUCUUUUGAUUUAUUAAUACUUUAGCUAGUAUUCUAAAAUAUGUAAAUAUUUAAUUAAGAAAAACCAUAGCUAUUAACUCUAAAGAAUUUUGUUGCAAAGCUACAAGUUUAAUCCUCUUGUUAAAAUGCUCUACUAUCACCACUACAUAUUUAAUUCAACUAGGGUGACAACAAGUAGCCCAACAAAAUCUAAAGACUAAUUACAGCUCAAAUCUAUAAUAAAUGAUGGCCUAAAUUGAGGUAAUAAAGUGUUAAAACUAAACUUGAUUUUAUAUUGGAAAACAUAUAUGACGACUUAUUGAUACAUAUCAAUCUAUUAAUAUUAAUAUUGGUUACACAAUAUAGAACAAUUCCUAUGCACUCUAAAAUAUCUAAGUUCUUCUUAUAUCUGCUACAUUGAAGAAAUUCUCUGAUUUGGUCUUAGAACUAUAUAUCUACUUCUAUCAUUCCAAAAAAAUUUCAGUAAUUGAAAUUAAUUGCAAGAUUUACAACAAAGAGCUUUUUGUAAUCAUGGAUUCAUUUCAAAAAUGACAUUAUUAUCUAAAAGAUGCUUCUAGUCCAAUCACACUAUAAAUGGAUUAUAAGAACCUUAAGUAUUUUAUAUCGAGAUAUGUUUUGAAUCAUUGCCAAGUCUAUUGGAACAUGAUUUUAUCAACGUUUGAUUUCAAGAUCACUUAUUAAUUCAAAAAAUAAUAAUAUUUAUUAAAUAUUUUUUAUCUUAUAUUUAAAAAAAAGAUGCAUCUUUUGAUCAAUAAAAAAUUAUUUUCUUAAAGUCAAAGCAUUUCCAUCUUUAAGCAAUAAAAUCAACAUUAAUUAUUGAUUUAAUCUUUCUCAACCAAGUUCAAUCCAAUAUGUCCUCUAAUUAUCUUAUUCAUGAUAUUAAGAAUAAUUUUUUUAAGUUUGGAUCCAAGAAUGAUCUAUUUUAUUUCAAGAAAUAAUUAUAUAUUCUAAAAAGUAAAGCAUAAUUAUGCAUUCUUCGAGCUUAUUACAACUUUCCAACAACCAAAUAUUUUGGAUAUAAUAAAAUUUUAGAGCUAAUAUCUAGAGAUUUUUGGUAGCUACAAAUGUAAAAGGCAAUAUAAGACUUUGUACAAUCAUAUGACAUUUUUUGAAGAUCAAAAAUUCCUUCUCAUCAAUCUUAUGGAUUUUUUCUGCCAUUACCUAUUCAAGAACAACCAUGGUCUUUUGUUUCUAUGGAAUUUAUCAUGGAUCUUCUAAUCUCAGGUUCUUUUGAUUUUAUAUUCAUUAUAGUAGAUCAAUUUAUCAAGAUAUUAUAUUUUGUAAUAUAUAAAGAAUCUAUUAUAAGUGAAGAAAUAACUAAAUUUUUUCUUGACAACAUCUAUUGCUUUUAUAAAUUAUUUAAGGAUAUUAUAUCACAUAAAAAGAUGCAAUAUAUAUAUAUAUAUAUAUCAUCAAAAAAUUUGAAAAUUCUUUUUAAGAUUUUAAAGAUGAACAUAAAACUAUUUUUAGCUUUUUAUCUUUAAAUUGAUGGCUAAAUGAAGCAAAUAAAUUUAAUUUUGAAAUAAUAUUUGAAAUAUACCAUCAACUACCUAUAAGAUGAUUGAACAAUUCUUUUACCAUUAGCAAAGUUUGCUUAUAAUAACAUGAUACAUUUUUCUACUCAAUAAAUAUAUAUUUUUUUAAUUAUAGUUAUUAUCUAAGACUUGAUACUUUUGACUUUUAAAAGUUGAUAAUUCUUUGGUAGAAGAUUUGACAAAUUAUUUGUUAUUGCUACAUGCAACAAUAGAGGCACAACUAAAUGAAGCUCAAGAAUAACAAAAGAUCAAUGUGGAUGCUUAUCACAAAGAACAACCUUAAUUCUAUAUUGGAGACAAAGUAUGGUUAUUUCGUCAUAAUAUCAAGACUAUUUGUCCUUAUAACAAGUUGGAUUAUCAUAGACUUAGACCAUUUCCUAUAUAUAAAAAGAUUAAUCUAAUUUAUUAUCAAUUGUACUUAUUAGAGUCUAUAAAGAUCCAUCAUAUAUUUCAUGUAUCUCUUCUUGAAUCAUACAAAUAAAUAAAUAUACCAAAAAGAUGAUAAAUGCCACCUCUUCUUAUAGAAUUGAAUAAUAAUGAAGAAUAUGAGGUCAAAGAAAUCUUAGACUUAAGGCAAUGCCAAAAUAAUUAAAAUAUCUUGUUCAAUGGCAUGGUUAUGAUAUUAGUGAACGUAUAUGGGAGCUAGCCAAGAAUCUUAUAAAUACAAUGAAGAAGGUUGAUACUUUUCAUUGACAACAUCUAUCAAAACUAAGAUGAAAGAUAACAAAACUUUGCUAUAAGAGAACUGCAAUUCAAGAGAUUUUAUAUUUGAUAUUCUAUCUUUGUUUAUAGUUUUUAUAUAUUUGUAAAGCUAAAAAAAUAGAGAAUCAAUAGCCAUUAUUUUUUGACUUACUAGAUGAGACAUUACAAUUAUUACAACCUUCAAGAGAAUGUAAUUGAAAUAAAGACCUUCAAGAACAAUUUGUUCUUCAAAUAAAUGGUAAGAUACAAUGUGUUUGAUAUUAUGACCUUGGGAAUAGGAACAACUUUUGAUGGUGUUACAAAUAUUUUGUUUAAACAAAGUCAUAAAGGCUUCAAUAAUGAUUAAAUAAUGGGAUGGUCUUCUUGCCAUGGAAUGGAACAUUAUUGAUAGCUAAAAGAACCUAUCAACUACCUUCAAAGAAAACAAAGAUUAAAAUAUGUGAUAAAUAUAAUUUGUUGCAUCUUAGACUUUCUCAUCAUGUAAUCAUUGCUCUUCAUGGAAGUCGUUUUUAGAAGGAGAGGUAAUGUCAUGGAUAUACAUAUUUAUUGCAAUUAUUAUUUAGAUAUUAUGAAUAAAUAAAAAUAAGUUAAUUUGAUAAUAUCUUAUAAGAAGCUUCUUAGAAGCUUUAUAGACACAAUUUCUUUUUUAUACAUAUCUAUAGGUGAUUUGUAGGUUAGAAACUUAACCAAAAAAUUAACCACAUAUUACACGUGUUGGUAGAUUGAGAUACAAGCUAACAAUGUGGCGUAUAUAUAGGAAACUUAUAUUGUAAGUUAAGACACAUGUCUUGCAAAUUAGAAACAUGUCAAAGGUCUUAUAGAACGUUACUACAUAGCUUUUAGUUAGAUAGUAUAUAUGGAGGGAAGAGUGAAGCUUUCUUCAUUCUUGUCAAUACCUUUUUAGUCUUUAGUCUUAUUUCAAGACUUUCUAGACUUUUUGUCUUUGGUAAUAGAUAUUUUAGUUUCAAUAUUAUAUUAGUUUUGAAUGAAUAUCUAUUCUUUUUGAAUGACAUCAAUAUUAUAUUAGUUUUGAAUGAAUAUUUAUUCUUUUUGAAUGACAUCAAAAAAUAUUGAAUUUUAUUUGUUUUAAAUUUAUAUUCUUAAGACUUUUUUGGCAUUAAACUAUGCAAUAAGAAUGUUAUUAAAAAUUGAUAGCAAGGUAGAGAUAAAUUUUGAUAGAAUCAUACAUUUAAGGAUUUCACUAUCUAAGUCUUUGAAUAAUAAUACCAUUGUUUUGAUGUUUUGAAUAUAAAAGCUUAUAUCAUUGAAAUAAGACAUUUUAUAAUCAUAAAACUUUUCUUACAACUACAUUAUAUUUUCUAUGAUAUACUAAAGAUAAACCGAAGAAAAAUUAUUUCACAUAUUUUUGGCAUUUUUAUAGCUUUUUAAUUUUGAAAUAAUUUAGAAGAUAUAUCCAAAUUAAUAAGCAUUCUUGCAUUGAUGUUUUUUUGCUUCUAUUUAUUGAUGCAUUAUUAUAAAUCAUUGUUAGCAUAUGCAUUAAGUGCAAAUAUUAGUUUUCUUUUAAGUUAAGUCACUAUGUUGAAAAUCUUUUUUGAUUGGUAUAUAAUUUUUAUAUGAUAUUUUCAAAUAGAAAAAUAUUUGCCAUCAAAAAAUUUAAAUAUUUAAUUUUUUUUCCAUUAUGUUUGUAAAUAUCCAAAAAAUAAAGAAGAAUAAAAAUAAUAUUUAAUAAGUAUCAAUAAAUAUAAUUAUAAGUGAAAGAAAAGAGAUUGAAAAAGAAUCAAUAGAAAAUUUAUAAUACGAAUAUUUCCAAUAAUUAACAAAGAAUUAAAAAAGAGUUAUAAAAAAAUUCAAGGAAUUAAUAAAUAAUUUAAAAAAUUAAUUGAAGUAAUUAUUAUGGAGUUAAAUACAAAAAAAAACUUCAAAUAAGUUGCAAAAAUUAAUAUGAAAUUGAAACUAAUGAAUAAGUGCUUGUAUAUAAGAAUCAAAAAAAUGUAUCAACACUUUUUAAUUCUUGUUGAUAAAGAAUGUUAUAACAAAGUUUUAAAAUGAUUUCAAGCAUAUAUAUAUAUAUAUAUAUAUAUAUAUGAUUUAAGGCGGAAAUAUUAUAGAAGUUCAUAACAUGUUGAAUUUCAUCAAUUCAUUACAAGUCAAUAUAAAUAAUCACUAUAUAUGUACAUUGUAUAAAUUUGUGCAAAAGCAUUUUAAAAUCUUUCAUUCAAUUUGAAUUUAAGAUGCUAUAAAUAUUAUCAUAUUAUUUUAUAUUUUUAAGAAAUAUUCAAUAAAAGACUCUUCUAUUUGUAAUGCUAAAUUUAUUUAUAUAUAAUCAUUUGAUGGUUGAUUUUGAUGAAGAAAAUAAAAAGAAUACAUUUAUUCAAUAAAUAAAUAUUUGUAGUACUUAAUAAGAUAAAAUACAUGCUGUCUUUAAUAAUAGUCUCACCAUCUUAUAUUGAGUUUGAAAUAUAAGGUCUUCAUGCAAAAAAAAUAUUUAAAAGGCCAAAUGAUAAAAGCAACUAAGGUUGAUUAUUAUGAUUUGCACAAUUUCUAAGACAAUUCUUCUUGGAUUUUUUUUCUACUUUAGCUAUUUUUGUUUUCUACUUAGGCUUCUUUUUACGCUAGGAUUUUUUUUUUUUUUUUUUUUUUUUUUUGAUAAUUCUUGCUAUGGCCUAAUUUAUCAUACCUCCAAUAAUUCAUAGUCUUUUUAUGUUGAGUUUUCAUGAAGUUACUCAUCUCAAUAGUAGUCUUUUUUGGCCUAAAAAUAUGUGUUAUCAAAGCAACCAUGUCAGUAGUAUUAUAAUAACAAAGAGCCUUGUUACAUUUUCCAAUUUCAACAAAUCCUUGUGAUAAUAUUGUCUUACUAUUGUAUUUGAGAAAAAAUCUUAAUAUUGUGAAUUUCAAAAGUUUCUUGUCAAUUUUAAACAAAAGAUCUUGAUAAAUUGACUCUUAUCAAAUAUAUCCUCUGAUUCCAUUGCAAACUAUGUCAUCUAUAUAUAUAUAUAUAUAUAUAUAUAUAUAUAUAAUACAUAAUAUGUCUUCUUUUUUACGUUAGAAGUCUUGAAUAAAUUGCAUUUGAUUACACCAAUAGCAUCCAUACUCACUUUUUAAAUGUUUAAUAGAUAUUUGAAGUAGUCUAAAAGAUAGUGACUCUUCUAUUGCAAACAAAGCCACCAUCAUAACUUGAGCCAUUUGUGAUAAAGUAAGUCGGGUGCUAUUCUCUAAAAGCACUUCUAAUGCUAUAAUCUUUUCUAUAGUAUCUUCAAAGGAUUUUCUACCUUCUACUUUUAGUAGAUAUCUUUUCUUUAAGGUAGGAUUAAAUUAGAAAUAAUAUCCUAAUUAAGAGCAAAUAUAAAUUCUAUUAUGACUACUUAAUAGUGUCUUUUUUUAUGCAAUUAAAAUAAGUACUUUUCAUUACAUCUUUUAUAUGUCUAGAGUGGCUUAUACUCCAAAUGUUGUAGCAUUAGCUCAAAUAUAUAGCACUCAUUAAAAAUAGAAGAUUGUUAAUAUUUUUCUUUGAACUAAGUUUGAAAUCCUAGCUUUUAAUUUAGCAAGGAAAUACCCUCAAUUUUUCCUAAGAAACAAUCCUUCAUCAUAUUAUAGGGAUUGACUUCUAUCUUAUUAAAUGUAUCCAUGUUCCAACCCCAAAGUCUCUUAAUAGUAUCCAUUAUUGAAAUAUGCUAAGAAACCUUAUUAAUAUCCACCACUAGCUCAAAAUCUUGAAUGUGGUCAUUAUUCAAGUAGGCUAGUGAAGGAGAUCUAUAAUAUUGACACUUCAUAUGCACCAUAAAAUGACCACUUGGAUACCUUCAACUAUCUAAAGGCUUAAAGAUAUUAUCUAAAGACUUAAGACCACUAAAUAUUUUAUAUCUUGUUUUAAAAAAAUACUAAUUUAUAUAUAUAUAUAUAUAUAUAUAUCAAGCAAUAUGAUCAUCUUUGUAAUACCAAUUAAAAUUAAACCCACAUCUAAUAAGCUUACAACAAAGAUUUGUAGGCUACUUGGCUUAAUCAUUAUGAAGAGACAUCUAUAUACUUCCACAUUCUGAUACUUGAUUAUGUAGAUUAUAUUAAUAAAAAGAUUAAAAAAAUGCUUAGUAUUACAAUUAAAUUUAAUAGCAUAAAAAAUCAAAACCAAAAGAAGAAAAAAAUGGUAUGAUAUUAUAUCAAUGCAAAGAUAAUAAUUUUGUAUUUUAUAUUAUUUCUUUAUUUUCCUCAUUUUUUCUCCCUAACAAAGCAAGGGCUUAGAUGCUAUCUGGUAAAUAUUAAAAAAAUAAAGUAGCCAAAACUGAUGUACAUAUUUUCAAAAUGUGUGAUACAAAUUUUCAUAGUUUACUGAUACUUAAUCAAGUCCAUUGUAAGUUAAAGGGUGCAUUUCAUUAAUAAUAUAUAACUUCAAAACAUUUUAAAUUAAGUCAUUUGAUACCCCUCCGUAAUUUUAUUAUUACAGAGAGAAAUCGAAAGUACUUUUGCCACAUAAGUUGUGAAAACCCAAACCAAAUUUUGCAGAGCACAUGCAUCUUCACCGUCCAGAGCUUUCAUCCGACAUGUUCUUAAGGACUGCAAGUGUUCCGAUUAAAAUUCUCACCAGGUGAGGACCUCGAUUUGCGGACCUCUGAUUCGAUCCGACGUGUCACAUUCCUCAAGAUAUUUGCCACGGUUCCAACCCCUCGGAAACCUUAAGCAUCCGCCACCUCAUCGUCCUUCCCUCAUGUUUAUACCCGGAUUGAUAACCUGAAAUAUUCAUCCAUCCAUUAUACAUUCAUCCAUUCUGCAUUAGUCUCAGCCAAGAGAUCGUCUCGGCGAAUCCCAAACACGAAGUCUGGCCGCCACGUAGUGGCCACUACUUUAUCUGCAGAACGGAAUUGACCUCCAAAUAGGUCGUCCGGGGAAAGGGAGUGGGAGAGAUCCAAUGACGAUUUCGGGUCCUAAUAAACGAAUUUAUAAUUUUCCCAAUUUCGAUAAUUCUAGAAAAUUCCACACGAUAUUCGCUCAUCCGAGGAGCUGCUUCUCAUGCCCGGCCCAGCUUCAAGAGCAGCGCUCUAUCCACUUCUCCCUCUUUUGCCUUGGCGCUUGAAGUGCGUUGCAGACGAUUUCUGACGCAGCCAGCUUCUGCUAGAGAGCCAAGUUAGGAUCACUACUACUUCCCUGUCUGUACCUUGAGAGAAACGGGUUUGAGCUUGUGAGGGAGGAAGGCCAAGCAGUCGAAGGACGCCAUGGCUGCCAUGGCUUCGUUGGCGUCGAGGGGGAUGGCUUACACUCCGGCUGUGAAGGUGAACAGAGACGGAGGGAUGGUGGAGGAAAGUCUUUUGAGUUUUUCAAACGGGUUUCAAACACGGAGCAAUUCCGAGUUUCAGUGCAAGCUAGUGGCGGUGGUAGGGAAGGAGAGGCGGAGAUUGGCAGGGGUUUGGAGUUUUGUGCGGGGGUUUAGUGGGCCGGGAGGGGAGGAAAAUGUCGACUGCUUUCCGUCCAGCAAGGAUGUGCCGAACAUCUCUAUCAGGUCGCAUGCUGCAGAGAUGAAGAAGGGAUACGGAGCUUUUGGUGGGGGUGGUGCGACGUUGGAAAAGUCGAAGCUAGACUUUUCCCAGUCCACGGCUAGGGUUAAACAGGAGGUAUGAAGGAGUGGGAUUCGUGCCAUCGUAGUCGCUUGGGAUUGAGUUUCGGUGUUUCCUGGAUUUUGUAGCGGUAGUUGUAGCAUAAUUUUGAAGAGAUUGUAGCUAGAUUAUGGAAUAAUUUUGAGGUUUUGGAUUGCAAAUAAUCUUAUCCUUUCGCUUAAAUGUGAUCUAGGUUCUGCGUUUGGUAAUUUGCGUAGGUCUAAGUUGGUCAAGGUGGUUGGAAUGGCAACGUUUGGGUGUGCAGGUGGAACUUGGUGGUGGUGGUGGAGGUAUUGGAAAUAAGAAUUUUAAUGGGGGUGGUGAUGGAGGUGACGAUGAUGGCGACGAUGAUGACUACUUCGGUGAGGAUGAUGGCGAUGACGAUGGUGACAACAAGGGAUUGUUCGGAAGGCGUGUGGUAGUUCCUGAGGUGCGUUUUUAUGGACCUAUAGGAUAACGUUUGAAACUGUGUAAGGUUCUCCUUGUACAUUGCUGGAUCUGCGCGUAGCCUUAUUUGCGUUGUGGGUUGUGUACAGAUGUUCGAUCGAAAAUAUGUGGAAGCAAUCUUACAAGAGUGGUUCAGGACGAUCAGUGAUUUGCCUGCAGGAAUUCGACAGGCUGUCGAACUGGUGUGUUGAGUGUUUCUACGUUUCCAUCUUACUCGUUUUAGGAUGUUGAUAGAUGUCUUUGUAUUGUCGAACUCAUUAUCAGUAAUGUGCAAGGUUUCAAGUCGUGAUUACUGCAGAGCAUGAAGUUUAGGACGAUCUCGCUGUGAUGAAUUCAGUUUUUUCUUUUCAGAUGGAUUAGUUUAUGACAUAUGUAAUCUGCAACUGAAGCUCAAUCUUGUUCAACGUAUGUCAACGGAGAAAGUUUCCCCCCUAGUUUGCACAGCGAAGUAACGGUUUCUUCUACUUCUUUGAAACAGGGUUUGAUCAGCUCAGCCCAGAUGGUCAGAUUCUUGUCAGUUAAUGCUAGGCCGACUAUUACUAGGAAGCUGUCGAGGGCGGUCCCUCAGCCAAUUUCAAGGGCCAUUAUUGGACGGUAUGUUCUGGGUGCUUUAAAUUUUUUCGGUUCUGUUGACCUUAAAUUCAAAAAUACUGAAUUAGCAUAGCUGGACAUAGAUGUCGUUAUUAAAUCAUUUCCACUUUACCUGCCUUUAGGUCAAUGCGCAGUUAACUUUUGUUGAUGCGUCUUCGUCGCUGUCAUUGGAGUCGUUUAUAAUGUGUCCCUUGACACGUUGUCCUUGUCUGCAAACGAACAGCAUUCUUGCGGAUCCUGGUUUCUUGUACAAGUUAGCGUUUGACGAGAUUGUGACGGUUGGUAAUGCUGUGUGGUGGGAGUAUCAACAUAGAGGAGAAAGGUAAGCAUCUGGCUGCGAACGGUGCUGUUGGUAUUGUUCCUGUUUUAAGAGAGUAGAUUGUUCUGGCUGAGCCUCUGAUCUUAUUGAACAGAUCUUGUUGAACCCUCGUAUACGGUAGCGUGUGUCAUCAAGGGCUUUGCAUUGAUUGAAGUGGUUCAUGUUAACAGGAUAAGGAAAGAGUGGGACGUUGCUGCAGUGAAUGUGUUGACUCUAGUCGCCAGCACAGCAGCCAUGAACUGGGCGUUAGCCCCUAGCCGAUCUUAUGGUUCAACAUUUAAAUACGAGUUCCAAAAUUCUCUUCAAAAGCUCCCAAACCACGUCUUCGACAAGAGCUAUCCACUUCGAGAAUUUGAUAUGUCAAAGCGAGUAUUUAGUUUCUUCUACAAAGCAGCACAGCUUAGCCUGGUUGGCAUGGUAACCGGGGCUGCCGGGGCAGGCCUAUCCAGAGUAAUGCCUUCAUCUAAAAAGAAAGAGUAUGUAACUACCUGUGCUUUUGUAUCUUGUAUACGAAGAUUCUGAUAUUGAGUUGUUCAGUUCAUUUAUGGUCUACGGUGACAGUAUUUUGGAUAAGGUUGCCUCGGAAUUGCGAGACUGAUGGUGAAAGUUGUGUUUGUUCAACAGAUUGUCGGUGUCGAUCCCUUCAGUCAGCACUAGUGCAUCAAGUUAUGGUGCAUUUAUGGGGUUAUCGGGCAACUUAAGGUAUCAGCUGCUCUUUGGUGCGGAAAGGCUUAUGCAGGACCAUUUCCAACAUUUGGGGGUUGUCAUAUUCUUUUCGGCAGCUCUCAGGUAUGUCUCACGGUGUUAUUGUCAGUGAAAGCGUCUUCUGUGUGGAACCUUUCAGUAGUAAUUUCCAAUCAAUUUUCUUCGUGGUAAUGAAGGCUAGAUCAAUCACUCAAUUAGAGAAAGUAGAGUUAAUGGGUUCAGUGGAUAGGCUGAGAAUUUCUGUGGGGGUUGUCAUGCAUGCUGCAGUUGAAUUGUAAUAGUAUGCCCUGAUAAGAGGAAUUGAUCUCGGCUUGUUGGUGCAGGGCUUUGAAUGUCCAGAUUGGAGACGUAACUAGACUAGCGUUUUUGGGACAAGGGGAAUUACCUGUUGUUCAUGCCGAUGGAACUCUUUCUCAGGCAUAUCGUCGACCUUCAUUAACUUCGGAGUCGCUAACUGGGUGGAUAAUACCUACCAAGGGUCUUAUCACAGGCCUCUUGGAUGGCUCAAAGGUACAGAAUAAAACUGGCGCUCAACGGCAAACUCCUAAUGUCUUCGCAAAGAGAAAAGUGAAGCGCAAAGUAACUGCUGGAAGUAGGUAAUUUCCAGUGAUUUACACGCGGGAAUUAGUUUAGUUGAAGAUCGAGAAGAUAAUGACCACUUGAGCCAUCCCACAGGAGUGCGCACUCCUCAUACUUGCAGAUCAAGAUCUUGAAGUGGUCUUCUGACUGGGCUAUGAAAGCAUCUCUGUUGGAAACUUAUGACGAACAUGUGCCCUGCAGUCUGAUUCCAUUAAACAUUGUUGUUAGAUUGAGUUGGCCAGUCAGACAUUGAACCAGAUUGUAGGACCUAGAUCUAUGUCGACAGCCGUUUCCGCCGGUGUCCUCUUCCAAAGAUUCAUGUAUAAAUCUUGGAAUACCACCUGCAAAGCAUGAUGUUACAUGAGGAUGAGCAACUGGUUUUCCAUGCGGACACUACUCAGAUUAUCUAACACAAAACAUUUGUGUUGUGUAGCAAUACCACACUUGAUUUCGGAUCAUAACCUGAAUUAUUACAUGGAGCAAUUGUUUCUUGUUCACUCCAAGAGUAGUGUUGCCCGUAACAUCUUGUUUCAGUAUUUUCAAAGUGAGCUCCUGGUGACAUUUCUCGUGGUGGAGAAUUUGCAGCAUCUGUCUUGUGGAAAGUAUUGCGGUUGCAGCCUCUUAGUGUCUUGUAAGUUUAAGGCAGGUUGUUUCUAUUAAGGAUCAAGUCACAUGUCAGUGAUGUGGCAAAUUCUCAAUAUGUGCAAUAGUAACGAACAGUUGAAAGGUCGGGAACAACGUACAAGUCGAAUCCGAAAUUCGUUUUUCUGUAACGGGUAUCGUGGGUAAACUAACCCUUAAAAGAUUUUCUUGUGAUUUCCUUCCACGUCACUGUCAGCUUUCUCUUGUAAGAGUUCCUUUUUCAAUGCACAAGUAUUCAUGCUUGUGUGGCAAGAUUGCAUAUUUCAUCAUUGGUACCCUGUCUUGUCACACUAACAAAUUAAAGGGAUUUUUUUUACAAUGCAGCCAAUGCUCGUUAGAUAUGCCACAAAUGGUAUUUGUUUCUAUCCCGAAGUCUGGUAUAUAAGAUAAGACAAGCUUUCUGCUAAAUAACCCUGUGGCUCCUCAAAGACAAUAAGUUCUGAAGUCUGAAUUAUAUGAUGCUUAAAAUUGUUCUACGUACAGGUACCCAACGAUAAGUAAAAUCACUGACCAGUGGUUUGUUCAAAGCUCCACAAAACGUUCAAUCUAGUACAUCAACAUGAAAAUGAGCAAGCCGAGCAUCUUCGUUCACUCUCAUCUUCCAGAUAAAACAUUGUUUAAGCAAGGGAACUGUUCCUCUGGAUCAUCAGAACAAGGUUUCAAUUCUUGUACCCUCGGUUAUGCUCACCACACUUCCGGCACUCCACUCCGACUAGAGAAGUCCAACUCCAGAAAUAACGAAAUAGCUAAUUUUCUUACUUAACCAAGAUUCUACUUUUUUUUCCUUUCCGACAGGAACUGUGGCUCUGAUAAUCAUGGGAUUGGACGUGGUCCCAAAAUCCAACUUGGAAACCCACCUACUACUACUACAAAAGGAUUGAGUAGACACAAUGUACAAGAUAUAGUGGAUUGCGGAGUGGAGACAUACAAGCAGACACGGUCAAGCAGCAAUCAUCCGGCCCCACGAUAAAGACCAGCCAACAAAUACUGGGGACGCCACCUCCACUUACUCACUCUCGCUUUCUCUUUCUCUUGACAAGGUAAGAUGGAUGGUGGAGCGAGGGCUGUGCACCACGAGAGGAAAAGGAAACCUGAUGAGAGACUCAAAAGGCAAGUGCGGUGGGGACAUUAGGAGCCACAAUAAUGAGAGAGAGAGAGAGAGAGAGCGAGCUGGAGCGAGGUGGGGGAUGAUUGCGAGGAGGGCAUCUCAGUGGAAAGCGGUAGCACUGGGACAGGGCAGGAGGAGGAGGAGGAGGAUCCCACAACUCUAGCAUCGUGGGAAAGGGGAAUGAGAAGGAAGGAAGGGCCCCAUGAGAGCCAUGACUGCCUGCCUGCCUGCCAACUUUGGCAUCACUCACACACUCACUCACUCACUCCAUUCAAUGCCAGCCAGCAUCAUUUCUCAUUGAGACCCUUGUGGGGUUGCUGUUGUAUUCUUUCAUUCAUCAACUUGCCUCCCCCUCUCUCUACUCCUUCACUGUGAUAGUAAACUAUUUUUGAUUUAUUUAUUUAUUUUCAUUAUUAUCAUUAUUGUUUUCAAAUGUGCUUUGUCACUUUUAAUUUGGGUUCCACCACCAACAAUAUGUAUUAUUUGGCAGAAAUCUCCUCCUAAAUGAAAAACUUACCACUAAAACACUCAUCAUGAAUGUAUGUGUAUAUAUAUAUAUAUAUAUAUGAACAUUCAAUUCAGGUUUGGUUUUGGCUCUUUGCAUUACCAAGUGCAAGUUCUACAAUGUAACUUUUUUCCUCUUGCAACAUUAUUUCCUCCUUAUUAGUAAUUACAUUCUGCCUACAUGUGUCAUUAGAGGCAAACUGCAAAGCCUUACAAGUGCCCUUAAGAAUGCAAUCACAACAGUUAUUACUUCUAGAACUCGUACCAUCCCAUAAACCAACUGUCGCAGGCAUUGCAAUCCGAUUGCACCGAUUCGGAUUUUCAUCAGAUUUACAACAAGUCAUGAUUUGGUGAAACAUUGGCAUAAAAAAAAAUAAACAAAUAAUUGUAACGGUGUGCACAAAAGUAGAUGCCCAUGGCAAAGUCGGUGUCCAUUUCGACGGAUUAGAGGAGAAUUAUGAGCCAACAACAUCUGAAUGCAUGCCAAUUAUAGGACGCGAUGCGCACAUAAGUUGCGAAGCAACCAUCGGCAAGUGGACUUGACAUGGUUAGACUCGUUCAUGUGCGCACCAGGCAAAGUUACGAUGCAGCUGGUUAAACUCCGAGCUGGAUUCGCUUCACUCCGCCAAUUAGCUCCUGCGGAUGACACUGGAGCAGAAUCUUGCGCUGUCGAUGUCAGAGCGAGCGGGUUUGGGUGUUGCCAAGCAUUGGCCGAUACUCAUGUCGCGAGUGUUUCAUGUGUAGGAAUUCUGGAAUUUAGGUGGAGAUAAUCAUGGAAUCUGUCGUGGUUGACAGAAUGGAUGUUGUUGACGGAAGAUUUGGCUGGUUGAGAUUGCAGACAACCCCAUCCAGGCGUAGCUGGUAUCAGGCUUCUCUGUACGCAAGGUUGUGGAUCAGCGAUCACAGAAAGGCCAGGACCUGGUUGAUGAGCUUCACAUGGUUUAGUAGUUCCCUGAAGGUGAGUUAGUGCGGAAAUUCUGGAGGCUGUCGCGAAGCCCGAUGAAGAUAAUUGGGUGAUGGCGUCGUUUUGACAUGACUUGUGUCGGUGAGACGCGUCGUGGUGACAUUACACCAUGUUUUGUACAGAGGAUGCCAUUCUGGCUUUGGUUCGCGCGUAUACUUGGUGCGUGAUUAUUGAAAUACCUGUUUCUGAACAACCACAUGGUGUAUCAGUGCGGGUGUGAGCAAGAAUGAGGGAGAAAGAGAGAGAAAAAUUCGGAGUGCUCUUUCAGGAAAGUAGUACUCAGAGAUCUUCGUCUAGGACUGUAUUUGCUGGAGUGGUCAGUCAACAAGGUGUUUACCAGCCGACAGCUGAGAGGUUGCGUGAGCGAGUAAUUUCCCUGGCCUGCUUCCGUGCCGAGUGUGUGUAUAACUGGGACGCACCACGAUUGAUCCAGCGAUGAGCGAAAUGUGUGAUAUGAAAUCUUGUUUGUUGCAGUGGACUGUGCAGUUGCUUGUUCUGGAAGUGCUUGAUGAAGGGAAGUCACGGGGUCGGAAAUAUUGGUUUGAGUGGUAACGUAGAAAAUCCUCACACCAAAGCAUGUGUUGUGUGCCUGACUGUGGAUAAGAUACUUGGAGCCGAGGCUAUACUGUAUUCGGUUACUUUGGAUUCGAAAAUCGGAACUCCGCAUCGUGACGUGCUACGUGAUUGCUCAAUUUUUUAAGAAAUCGCAAACAAGCUCCGUUUACUCUGACCAAGUUCCCUCGUCUCUCUGAAUUGAAAUGAAUGGAUUAGUGGCUAAUGAAUCACCCCACACUGUAUUAAUCACUUUACUCUUGACCUCACAGUGACACAGGCAGAGAAUAGGAAGGAUGUUGAAGAGAAGUUUGUGAUAAUUAAGCAAAUUCACAGUACUAAUCGUUAUCUGUAACCCAGGUAUUCAAUAUGAGCGAUCCACUCAUGCUGCAAUUCAGGAAUAGGACAACAAGCAACACACUGCUAAGGAAGAAAACGAGUGCUCUUGAACGUAUUUUGGUGAUAGUUAGAGACUAAGUAAGGGUAUUAUGCGAAAUCGUCUCCCAUCGCUAUCGCUCAGAAGGGAUUUCAAUCAUUUUGGAAAGAGGACCACCUAUUUUUAUUCAGAUGGCUUUGAAACAAACUCUAAAGAAGCAGGAGUCGAGAGGGUGUGGAAGUGGGAACUUGUGGAGGAGGAUUAAUAAUAGCUAUGCCUUCAGAAUUUCGGUGCUUGCUGCUUGUGGCGUGGGAGUACUCCUGUUGUGCUUCACUUAUGUAGACCUAAAGCCAUUUUGCGACAAAAUUGGCAAGGAGCCUGUCGUGUUCCAGAAGGAUCCAGGUAUCGAUACACUGGCCACCUACGGUUUGGAAGAGGACUCCAGCUUGCGAGCGGCAACCCCGCCGGAAAUGAAUGUUGACUCAGGUGAUGGUGGUGCGCCAGAAGUGGAAGCCGAUGGUUCAUCUGAGAAAGUUAGGAAAACUGCGAAAGCUUUUGCGGUGAAGGAAAACGGUACUGAAUCAUCCGUGAUCGUAGGAGAAGCACAUGUCUCUGGACUCGACAAUGAUUGGGUCAAAUCUGAUGCUCGGGUUUCGGAGGACAAGGACUCUCGAAAUGAAGCUUUGGCCGGACCAGGUGUUACAGAGACCAGAGGCAGAGAUCGCAGGGCUUUAGCUGGUUGUGACAUCGCCCACGGUAAAUGGGUAUAUGACGAAACAUAUCCAUUGUACAGGUCUAGAAAUUGCCCUUUCGUAGAUCCUGGAUUUCGGUGUGAGGAAAACGGUCGACCCGACACUGACUACAUGAAAUACCGGUGGCAACCGAAUGACUGUGAUUUGCCAAGGUUUGUAACUGCAAUUACUGGAUUCUUCACCUAAACUCUUUGUAGAAAUACAGGUGCAAGACAAUGGAUCGAAGUUAUAGAGUGUCCUGGUUUGUGUUUGACGGUCAGCGCUCGCCAAAUUGACACAUGCAUUUUGUUCAAAGCAGUAAAAUUUCUGGUGAUAUUAAUUACUCGAGAUGCCUCGAGACUAAAUGUAAUAUUCUCAAGCACGUCUGCAAGGAAUGGCUGUGAGGAAUUGUGGUUCUUGAGAUGAGAUCACGUGUAGAAGCAGCCAGCAUCUCCUACUUUCAUUUUUGCUUGGUCAUUUCUCUUUCCCUUUUAGUAGAUUGGUUUUUGUAAACUUGCACAAUUGUCCCAGAAUGUUUUUGUACAUGUAUAUGUGAGAGCUUGCUCGAGCUCGCCUGCUAAACUUAGAACGCUGAUUGGUGGACUGAUUUUGCCAGCUUCGACUCCCAGGACAUGUUGGAAAAGUUGCGGGAUCAACGACUCGUCUUUGUGGGGGAUUCAUUGGGGCGAAACCAAUGGGAGUCCAUGUUGUGCAUGCUUGCGGAAGGCGUGCAAAACAAAUCACGAAUUUACGAGAUUAAUGGCCACCCCAUAAGUAAGCACGUUGGUGAGCUGGUCUUCCGAUUCCAAGACUACAAUUGUACUGUGGAGUAUUACAGGGACCCUUUUCUUGUUCCACAAACACGUCCUCCUCCGAAUGCUCCAGAUAAUGUGACAAACGUACUUCACAUUGACCAAGUCUCAUGGACUGCCAACAUGUGGCCAGGCGCCAGCAUCUUGGUAUUCAAUUCAGGUCACUGGUGGUCAUGGGAGAAGAUAGGGCGCCAGUAAGACUCCUCUAACUAAUUUCACUUGUUUGUGCGUUGACUGGUUUGCUUUACAUUGUAAUGGUGCCUCAUUCCUUUCCUUCGUCAUCGGGAAAGACGAAACACUUUUCGUAAAAGAUUGAUGUGAUUAAAUAACUAUCAUUGUAGGGGUGGCGCGUUUCAAAUUGGAAGUAAUGUUACUAGCCACGGCUUUGAAGAAGCGUUCAAAAUCGCGUUAGAAACUUGGGCAUUGUGGAUAGAAAGCAAUCUAGAUCCCAUGAAAACCCAAGUAUUUUUUCGAAGUUUUGCAUCAGUCCAUUUCAGGUGCGUAAGGCCAAGGUUGGUUUAGGAGACUGUUGGGAUCUGUUGAGGCAUUCAUGUUCAAUCCUAGAAGUGUGCAGUGCAGUUCUUAAUUAAUCAAGGCAACUAGUCUGAAUCCUAUGGCGUAAUGUUCACCAUGGUGACCAGGAGAAGAGUCAUUACUCAAGAGUAGAACAAGAUUGGGUAGGCUAUACUAGUGCUUGAUCUUCUCACCACAGCAUUACACAAACGGCAUGAGGUGAUGUCCGUUUUUCUUUUUCAGAGGAGGAUCAUGGAACACGGGAGGUCAGUGUCACGAAGAGGUCAAGCCACUGAGCGACGAAGAGGUACAGAAAAUGCAGCCUGUACCUUGGACCAAUAAGUACAUUGAGCAAACUAUAAAAGAGAACAUUAAGACGAAGAAGGGUGUUGUCGAGUUCAUGGAUGUCACAACGUCCACAGACUACAGGUCGGAUGGACACUCAGGAUUGUAUGCAAACGAUGUCUUAGUGAUGGGACCUACUCCAAUGAAUCGUCAAGAUUGCAGCCAUUUCUGCUUGCCCGGAGUUCCUGACACAUGGAACGAACUUUUAUAUGCAACUUUGCUCGCCAGGGGUCAAGGUGUUUGGGGAGCACCUGAGAGGUAAUUCUUUUUUCAUCCCGAACGAUGUAGAGAUUGUUCGUGGAAAGCAAAGAAUAAUCUAGCAGCUGAAGAAGCGAACAUCUCAAGAAUACUUGAGUCUUUGUACCUUGAAUCAGUUUUCUUUAGAAGUUCUCCCCCCUGCUUAUUGAUUGCACUAAGUUGAGCACAAGCACUUAUCAACUGUCUAGGUUACUGGUAGUAUUGAUGCAACAUGAGAGCCAUGUGGGACCAUUUAGUGUAUUCUUUCGAUUCGGUUAAGAAUUGAUGAGGAAGGCAACAUUCCAUGCGAUAUUUUUCGGCGUAAUGCAAGCAGUAUGUAUCAACCUCUACAAGUUUGCUAAGAGUGUAGCCACAAGGCUUGUGUGUAUAUAUGUGUGUCGGUUUACAUUAUAUAUAUAUAUAUAUAUAUAUAUAAACACAUUGGAAGAGGAGAUUGCACUCUGUUCGAAGCUCUGAUAAACAGCUUCUAAUAGGAAUUUCCUCUUGCGCACAUAAAGCUAGCUCAAGCCUGAGUUUCUCUAUUUCCUCUGAAAGAUAGUCUUUAAGAAGACGUGAACGUACUCUUUAUUGUAUACUCUUACAUGCUCUUCGUAGUGCUCAUUCAACUGUACCCCGUGUGAUGAACCUGUGACAAGUCAUUGAGAAGAUGCACUCAUUGACAUGACCACAGGGUCUCGCCAGAAACUUGGCAAACGCUAAGCGCUUAAGCUUCUGCAACCAUGUUAACUGAGUAAAAUGGCCUCAUAUUUUUGCAGUCCAGAUUACCACCAGGAUUCACAUUCAGACGAUUGCAAAAAUCUUUGUAAUAAUUCACUCGGGCAUCUGCCUGGGCGCUGUAUUUGUUGCACUCCAAGCCUCCGUUAAUAACGUCUAUGGUGACGCCGAAACCGGGUACGCGGUUCGCAGCUUGGUCGGCGCUGGAGGGUCUCCAAUUCCCGAUCAUGACAUCAUGAAUGUGAGGGAUAACAGUGUCUCCAUAAAUCAUCCAAAACCACAGGCUCGUUUUGAAAGCGAUGAGGUUAUUUGUUGCCACCAGAUUGGGUUUGUUGAUGAGAUCGACACCCAAGUACGAGCCUGCUGCGAGGUAAUUGUAGUUCCUGCAAACACAGCAUAAAUUGACCUUGAAUAUUCUGAAACAGCAGACAUUACGUGGCAUAAACCUGAAGGGAGCUUUGCAGCCUCACCAGGAAAGUUGGAGAGGACCGCGACCAUUGUAUUGGCCGUUGCAAGGAAUAUCUGGGCGCCAGCUUGCACAAUAAUUGUCUCCGGUUUGCUCCGUGAUUUUGGUGAGUCCUAAAACAGAAACAAGUUAACAUGCAGCAUUAACGAGUGGUUCGAAAGGGUCGGGCGUAAAAUUAGGCACUUCACCAAUUUGAAUCUUAAGUGAAACUUGGAGGAGACAAGGCGAACAGACAGACCUCCAGUUUCGUGCUUGACAUGCGCCGCGUAAGCAGCGAUCUCUCUCUUACGAGUGUCGGUGUCGCCCGUCGUGCCAAACUGAGGGAAUGAUUUCGCAGCCUCAAUGAGCACGUCGUAAGAGUAGAAGGAGAGAUGGCCGGGGAAGAAAUUCUCGAAAACGCUUCUAGUUAGGAUGGCGUCCAGGCCGGAGCCAGAGGGAGGUGAAGGGCCUGGAGGAGUAGGGCCAUAACACGGCCCGCCCUGGCAACCCUCCCCACAAUAGUCGUUGCCAACCCCGCAGUACCCCCAGUUGCUGCAACAGUGCGCCAAAUUUGGACAUGGCGAGUUUCGGCUGCAUUCCCCCUGCGCCUCCGCAAUCAGAGCACCACCAUUGCUUAGUACAAGUGCCACUAGGGCAAACAUGAAAAUGCUUCUCGCCACUGCAGUCGCCAUCGCCACGAUGUGCACACGCGCAGAGAACUCUCUACCAGACCGCGACUAGUCAACCCAAGAGGAGCUAUGGAUCGCUGUCAAAGCCCAGUAGAGAUCGCCCACGUUUAUACACAGCAACAGCACCCAACUCCGGCAUAUUCCACUGGAAACUGUGCAAGUUCGAUGGCGCCCAAGUGAUCGAUUUCGAUGACACUCUCAACUAGGCAUGUGUCGGAUAUUGCUACGAAAGCAUGGCGCAAUCUGGGCACAGAAGUCAGAGCCACGCCUAUCUCCCCGCCAGCUCUUGCGGAUACGGGAAUGGUGCAGUUUUGGAGGUACAAACCUUGGGUUUGAAAAUAGAAUGGUAGAUGUGGGGCCUCGGAUUUUCUGCAAAAAAAUUUGUCAUUGAAAUUGGCUUAAUUUUCCUUGAUUCCACGCACUCCAUCUGGCAUCAUCUUCCCCAUUCCUAUUUAUUAUUCUGUCAUGGUGUCUGCAUUUGCUCUCAGCUCGGCGAGGUUGGUUCCUUACUCUGUCGGAACCUGCUCUUGAACAGAUGAUGCCCAUUCCUCAGUCCUUGUUCCUUCAAACCUGAGUCGUCACACGAAAAAAGAUAAGUCACUUGGCUGCUUUUGGGUGCACUUUUAUUGCAUUCUAUUCUCAGGGGAUACUCUGCAUGGCGUGGAUAACUUCUCUGGAGAACAAAAGAAAACAUUCUUGAAAACGCAAAUCAUUUCUUGGAAUCAGUAUUGUCUUAAUGCAGGCUCCAUGGAGUAGAGUUUAUACUUUUCUUUUUCUUUUUUCUUUUUGAGUUGGGAGGUUACCUCCAGAGUUUGUUUGAAAUUUGAAGUUCCUCAAAGUCUUCUCCGUGGAGUGCGUGAUCUCAGUUUGUAUUAAAGAAAGGUGCUGCAAGUCUAAGUGUGCUUUAGGAUAGUGCUAGAAACAAUGUGGAAACAGUUAUUCAAUGAAUGGGAGGCAACUUUUUAUUUCUCAUCAAGUUGGGAGUUUUUCUUUCUCCAAUCUUUUACAAAUAUGUCUUUGUUUUAUAUCAAUCAAAUCAAUGUAGAUUUUUAAUUUCUAUUAAAUUGUAUUUUAUGCUACAAUCUUAUCUAUUGAAAAUUUAAUGAGGUAGGAAAAAAGCUUAUCUAUUUUAUUUAUUUAUUUAUUUUGUAGCCAAAAGAGGAGUAGAUGUUUGCACAUAGAUGGAAGUUUGUUCGAUUUUGUUUGUAUGUACUAUGAAGGUAGUGACAUUAUUAAAUGUGAAGGGUAUUUAAUCAAAACUUAAGGUAGAAAUCCAAAUGCAUAACUAUAUACAAUAAUAUAUAGAAGGAUACUGGAGUUAAAGGUUUGUUUUAAUAUCAAAGCAAGAUAUUUCAAUAUUGCUAGUUUUUCAUUUGAGUGGGACAGUUCUUGAAUGUGAGUUGAAGGUUUACAAGUUUACUUGAAUGGGACAAAUAACAUAAAAUACAAGUUUUAAGAUUUGUAAUUUAGAAUCAAUUAAUUCCAGUAAUUUGAUCUAAAAAACAAAAAACAAAGCAAAAUUUUCGCUUGUGUAAAAUAGUGGUAUUACUAGAUUACAAGUUAAUUUUUCUUUAAAUGAUAUCUUUACGAUGGAUCAUGUUUAUAAUUUAAAUAAAUAAAUAAUUUUUUUUUUAUAUAUCCCUCUUAAAAAAUAAAUGUCUUUUUUAAAAAAUAUCAUGAUUUUUUUGUGGUCUACAUUAGUCCAUACUCUAAUUAAGGAUGAACAGUGUGCACAUCAACAUAAAAAUUUAACUAUGAAGAUCUUUCUACUUAGGAGAGAAGGUAAAAGGUUAAAACUUUUUAGGAGAGAAUCUUGGUAAAGUUUUUGAAUGAUAGCCUUUCAAAGUGGGCUUUCUAUGUAUAAAGACCCCUCAUUUCAUAAUGCUUUUUUCUGCAUUUUGGAGACUCCUCUGCUGCUGCUUGAAGCUGGACAUAUUCCUAUCAAGGAUACGGUAUCAGAACACUGUUUGCAUGAUGUAAUAAUCAUGAUUGCAUGAUCAAGGAUACGGUAUCAAAACACUUACUCGUGAUUAUAAAAACUUGUUGCACAUCACAGUCGCGUGGGGUGAAAUCAAUUAUUAAACGUGUGAAAACCACACGUGAAGCACUGAAUCUACUCAGAUAUCUCAAGAUCUCGUAUGUCGGUAUUCAUGUGGAUAAGGAGUCAGGUCAUUAGCUAGAAUUCACAAACUAAGCUGAAUGGGAAACAAUUUCUAAGUCCAGAACCAAGCUACAAUCCGACUCACACAGCUUAUUGCACUCCUGCAUUUGCUAGCAGUUGUGAAAGCAUACACAGGAUUGCUAAUCUCCGUUUAUAUUUGCGGGAAGAUAGACGUGGAGAAGUCCAGCAGCAGGUCCUUCAACUGGGUAUUCUCCUUGAUGAUAGACUCUCAUAUCGACGAUCAUUGCUGCUAGCCCAGUCCACUCGUCAUAUAGGAAUGCCGCUUCGGCAACGGCGGAAUUCUUGUUUUACAUGAGGGUUCAUGCAGCUCUGAUGAGGGUGGACGUCACUGUUGCCUGAAUGGUCGCCCUUUGCCUCACGCUUGGCUGCAAAACACCGAUUGCAACAUCUUUGUAAGAAGCUGAAUAUCAGAACAGGGAAACUUGGACACACAAAGAAUCUCUCACUUAGGAUGUGUAGUUUUCUAAUUACACUGUACACACCGCACGAUAGCUACAAGUCCCAUCCACCAGGCGCUGAGUUGAUGAAAACAAUGUGGCACUUGCAAGAUAAGUGUGCUCCUCCGCUUGAACCUCCAAGUUGCAGCGUUCCAGCUCAGAGCCGCGAAGCUCUGAAAUAAAUCCAGUCCUGCGAAUACCUGGCAGGGUACUAAUAUAAGCUACAUUCUACCAAUCUUAAGUAGCCAGGAUCUCUAAUCCACACCAGGAUCGCUAAUUAAUCCUUAAACGGUUCUUCAGACAAGUCUCUGAUCUGCUCGAGCCGGUUGAUCCGACUCAUCCACACUGAGUGCAGGAUCAUGUGGAACACAUCAUACUUCUCCGGCUUCUUAUGCCAAACAAAGUGCUGCCGAAUCUUCCGCAGCCUAAUUUGCAUGCUCCGGUAGGUCUUCUCAGGGAUAUCAUUCAAAAUGGCUUUCAGCUUGGGAAUGUCACUCUCGGGCAUGGUCACGGAGAACGCAUCCCAGUUGAGGACAUCACUGAAGGGAAGCACAAAGUUAUCGGCGAUGAUCACAGGAACACAGUCGUAGUGGAUCGAUUCCACAAUCCGUGGGCUGUUGACCUCGUACCCCGCUGCACAGAUACAAUACUUGCUCAUUUUCAUGUGCUGGACAUACGAGAUUUGCUUCGCAAUAGGUUUGGGAAGCACUCCGUAAAUCAUCAGGUCAGGGUCUUUGUCUUUCCAAUGGUCUAGGAGGAUGGGCCUCACGCGGCCGUGCAUCUGGCCAGCGAAGAAAGCUAAGUACGGUCGCUCAUCGUAACCUGGACCGCCGAGCUUAAUCGGUGCUUUUGUUUUGGAUUUGUGCAUGUAGACUUCGGGUAGUGAUGCAUCUUUGCCGACUACGAACUCCUCCGUUAAGUCUGCGUUGCACACUACUUUCACGGCGUUGCUUCUGAGUGUGGGAUGGUCUCGCGCGGUUGCUGGUCCCUGGUACAAAACCCUAGCCCAGAUUCAGUCCACGCCAGGACUAGGCAAAAGCAAAAAAAAUAAUUAGAAAUGACGAUCCGAAUAAUUAUCGAGAGCAAUCUAUCUUGAAAUUGAAGCUGGAUGAAAUACCCAGUCGUGACAGGAGACAAAGAAAUGGUCAGCCCCCUUGGUCCGAUUCCAAUACGGAUAUUGCCGGGCAAGGGCUUCGACAUAGUCCUUGAUGAAAGUGGCGAGUGGUAACAUGGACCGAGAGUUCGGCACGUAGAGAUGGGUCACCAUGCGAUAGACGCUGUAUGGCAAGAAAAACAUGUGCGCCCGCGAUGGAUCGUCCGUAAGAAAUUCGCUGGCCGCCUCCAUACGCUCAAUGAACUGCCCCUCCGAUGCAUAGAUUCCGAGUUGGGGCCCUGAGUGCACCAGCGGCUUGCGGCCAUCUUUAUAGAUGUAUACCUUGAACACCUUCUCCAUGAGUUCAUAGCUCCUGAGCAGAUUCACAAGUGCACUCCGUGUGAGGAUGUUCCCUCGUGUGCCAUAAUUUCUCUUUCUCCACAUCCAUGAUGAUGAGCAGUGGAAUCUUCGAGGUUAGGACAUUACUUCCAAUCGCAAAGUGUGAAAUCAAUGAGAGGCUUACUUGGAAAACGCCGUCACGUUUUUGUAAAGAGAGCUGUCCAAACUUGGAUCAGCAGUCUCGAGUGUGGCGCCCUCUAUUGCCUUCUUGCAAGUCUGCAGUUCGUCAAAUAUUGGGUUAAAUUUCGACACCUGUGCACAUAAGAACGAGAGCUUAUCAGAUUUUACGGAUGAUUCCGCAGGCAGAUGUCGACUCUAUGAUUUGUGGGGGUUUCGAGUUUAAAAUGUAUACAGUACCUUGGGGACUGGGGAGGCCUGUGGAGGCCAAGACGCGAUCAUUAACUGCUGUUUGUUUUCUUCAUGACUUGUUUCUGUUUCCACUGGUAUCCGUCCCACAUUUGCGUCUCCUAAGCUUUCAAACCUUCGAGGCUGCAUGACGUCAACCGCUUCGUCCCCACCCACGGGUAUAGCACCUUUGGAAUCCGACUCUGCAUUCGGGACAGUCAAUUCGCUGCGAUUGUGAUCCAAGUCCAUGCGAUCCGCCACCUCUGCCAUAUUUUCACUUGAAUUGAUUGAAUUGAUAACACCCUUCACAAUCUGGACGGCCUCCGUCUCAACCGCGACCACCUGCCUCUCCGUGGCCGCUUCCGCAACUACUGACUCCACCAUGGUUCCAUUGUUUAGAAUCUCAGAGCUUACUUGUCGAUUUGACGUUUCAGGAACUAGCAAGUCAGUCCCAUUGUUGUUGAAUUCCUUCCCAGUCUCUGAGACUUCGGAUUCAACUGCCGUGAACAUCUGCGACUCAUUACCAGCGUGCAGGAAAUUCUCGCUGAAAUCCUGCCUCUUGUUGGAGCUCAGCGAUUGUGCCUGAGUAGAGACAUUUUCAGUCUCGGAUAUCAUUUCUGGUGACGAUGGGGUAAGAUUUUUUUGAUGACGCCCUUUUGUGGGCGUUAAGGCAUCCAAUUUGGAGAGAACAGGCUCGGCCUGGCGAGAAAUGAGGGAUGAGUGCAGCAGCGAGUAGGCAGGCCCCUUGGUGGUGCAAAUGUGCUGGAGGAGCACUAUUGCCGAGACGGCUAUCACCACAGAUGUCAGGAAAGUGGGAUGCGCUCUCUCACCCAGACAUCGUCUUGGACGCGCCAUGAUAUCCCUACUCGGCUCGUGAUGGAGGUUUUCACCAAAAUUCGUAGUCCGUCGUCUAUCUCUCCAUCACGCAUUCGACUGGCUCAUUCGUGGCACAGUCCUGCUGUAGAGAGAUUGAAUCGUGCGCCAAUAGGCAGCAUCCCCAUGAAACGGUGGUGAAGUUCUCGUCUGAAGAAUAAUAUUGACAGCAACGGGUCAGUCAAAAAGGACCGGGGUAAUCAAAGUGCUCAGAGAAUGAAAAAAUCGUGAGAAGCUGGACAACAUCUGCGAGGAGCACGAUAUUCUUCUGACAAUUAUCGGUACUCAAAAUCGUGAUGGGAUUAGAAUGCUAAUUGCCCUUGAAUGCCCCAGGUUCGGCGCAAAAGUUAAUGCGAACUUAGACGACAUGUUCAGGGCAAUCCAAAACUUCCGCGACAAUGCCAAGAAACCUCUCAAACCAACACUUGACCUGUACAAAACUUCAACAAAGACAUUGAGAGUGGCAGACCACCUUUGGGAACAGUUACAUAUUAACCGAAGCGCCAAUGAAUCUCAAUCGACGUUUCAACGCCCUUACAUUACGCGUUAUCGAUCCAGAGGUCAAUUACACUGUGUUCCUUAUUUUGAAACUUCAGUUUCUACAGUGUUACGUUUGCACCAAGAACCUGUGUAAUCAAAGACGAGUCAAUGGGAGGCCUGAAAGCUCGAAGUCCUGAAAGUAUGCAUACAAUUACCUUCACGUUCACAUCCUCACAGUUCUCAUAGCUAAAAGUUUCCAAAUCAGUUCAUCCCGGCUACCCAGCAUUCACUCCCCAGCAUGCUCGCUCACACCCAAUUCAAUAUGACUCCUCAAAAGCUUGCGGCCCAAGUGAUCCAAACACUUACAAUCACCUUUAGAUUAUUAGCCUCUACAUUAAAAUCCUCACAAGCAAAGAUGGUGAUGCAAGAUUUGGAAAAAGCAUCGAGAGCGAGGGAUAAGGUGGGGUAGCAUAACAAGAGCAUGGGGAGCUUUUGGCUCAUAAGAAGCAAGACUUGCAAUUUCUUGGCCUCGCCCAAAUUUCAACUGCCCAGCAUUCCUGCGGUGAGACCUGGUCCGCGCAUGCUCUUCCUAUGAUUCUCGAAACUCGGUCUAGUAACGUCAAAUUUAUCAUACAAAAGCUUUUCAGUAAUUCUUAACUGACACGUACUCCCGAAUCCAGAGCAGGUGUGAAGUCCCAGAAUGAUGAAGUAAUUCCCAAAGUGGAGAAUUCGACGUUUAGUGUGGUUUCAUGCUCUGUUUUAUUACAAUUUUUAGCACGUUCUUGGUAACGUCACCACCCUGUUUCUGAGCACCGCUUGAACACACUUGAUCGAGAACCUACUAUUGCGUAUAUGAAUUAACUGCUCGUGCAUGUGAUCUUUUCAUUGCCCACUGAAUGGGUAAGUCACUUACAGUUGGAAUGUCCAUUGAAGCAUUUUUCUUACUUUUCUUCUUCUACGCCGUUCAUGUGCACUUCACCCUAUAUCCAGCCACCUAGUAGCAGUUUUAAGCAGAGAUUGGAUAUUUCACAAUUUCACACCGAAUUUACUAUAUUAACCUACUAAAUAGAUCCAGCAGUCACACCAUGUAGCUGCUAUUUUAAUCAAGCUAGCGAUUCAAGUGAUUCACUGAACCUUUAUCUUAUUAUUACCAUGCGUCUUUGAUUGCAUGUUAAUAGACAAUUACUUCGAACAAUCAAUCCGCUGCGACUGUUUUCGAAAGGAAUCUUUGCCAGAAAGGAAGACACCUACACAUGCACUUUUAGAUUCAGUGAUGGAGGCACAUUUCAUCUCUUAAAUGUGCUGUGAGAGAACCUAAACCCAAACCCAAACUUAUGAAUUGAGUGAACUGUUUUAUUAGUGGAGAGGCUUCGAGCAUAUAUGAGCGCAGCAUAGUGACAGCACCGCUCCUGACAAUACACGAGUCCAACUCUAUUAGACGAUUCGGGGUUAAUUGAACUUUUUGUUUCUUUGUAGGGUGCAGCAAAUACUCUUGCGAAAUCUACCAGGGAUCUGUUUCAGGGCCUGGCUGGCCAAAUUCGGAAAGAAAGGAGAUGCACCUCGAUUUACACUUCAACUUCGAUGCUUCUUUUGGAGCUCUGACAACGAAAUACAUAUAUGAUUUUGAAAAUUGUGAAUUCAGAAGCAACUUCAUGCUAUGCUUUAUUUGGAUUUUGUCAACUGUAAUGGUCAGAGUUGCACUCUUCACCAUCGUUGUAGAGUACAAGCAUGAAACGCUGUCGAUUCUCGAUUGUUCAGUAUUACAUGAGAUAACUUGCUAUACUGGAGUGAAGAGCAACGGAGUAUUUCUGCCGAGAAAACCAACUCUUUUAGUUUCACUGUAAAUAAAAUUAAAAAAAACGGUUUUGCGCUACUCUCCGUCCUCACGUGUUUCCUCGUGUUCGCAGCUGCAGAUUUCCUCCCCUAGCUAUCGCUGAACAAUACCCAGGUAGUACGUAUAAACGAGAUGGGGUACCCAAAGAAGAUAUUUCUUGACAAAGGGUGAAUCAAGCCACCACAUUUUUGUCACCUAGGGCUGCACACAUCUUGUUCAUCAGUCCAAAAAUUGCACUGCUUUGAAUGACACUAGGCUCUUGUGUAUCGGCGGUGACGGAAGUGCAUCAUGUCCUGGCCAACUUGACCAAGCAAUUAUUCCAUGCAGUUGGUCUAGUUCCCACUCAACCUAAGUUUUAUAACCAACCUAAGCUUGUAGAAUGGGAUGUCUUAACCCACCUUUCCUCGUGACUUCUUUGAGGCUUAACUGCACACCUACGAGUCUGUCUUUCAUCUUGUCUCAAGUAUUCCGUCAUGCACCCAAUCUGCAACCAGAAAACAGCCCACACUGGGACUCGAGUAGCCAGGAUAAUUCCGAUGAACCGAGGCUUCUAAACAAUGUGAACAUGCUUUACUAAUACUCAGAUUGACGUGCUGGUUCCGAUGGCCAGAAGACAGGCAGCGAUAAGUGUGCAACGUUUCACUUAUCAGAACACUGGUUGUAAUAUUACCAGAUCUGGAUCAGGCUAUCUUCGUAACAAGUCGGCCACAUUCAGUCCUGAAAAUUGAAAGCUUCUGCGAAAAGCUCAAUCGGGGACCGCAUCUAUUAUUCAGCACAUGAACAUGCCUCCUGUGCGUAUAUUCUCUACUUUCAUUUCGUUUCUGGCAAAUCAAAGCUGUUUACAUCUGAGUAUAACUAUUAACUGAUUUGAAAAGACUGAUCUGCUCUCUUCAUUCAUUCUCAUCUGUCGGUAAACUUGGUUUAGUUUAAGCGUUUUCACUUCUGAAGUGCUUUAGGGUCUUAGGAGUGGAAAUAUAUUAACCAUCAUCUCCAUCAUCAGAAUGAAAAAAGAUAUAUGUGCUAAACAAUACAUUGUUGGGAUGCAUAUCUAUGCAAUAUUUUGAAGUGUGGCAAGAAGAGAAUUGGAAGAAGUGUGGCAAGAAGAGAAUAUUUUGAAGAUGCCAAAAGAUAAAGAUAAUUAAGAGGUGGUUGAAUUUGAUUAAAGUAGGUCAAUAUAAGAUUUGGAUGGAUUUAUAUGAUAUUUUCUUAAAUAAAAUUAAUAAAAUUUACACACAUAUAUAUAUAUAUAUAUACAUAAAUUUUUGAUAUAAUGCAUCUCAGUUGAAAGGUCAAUACUUUUACAUGUAUUAAAAUUUGAGAAUUGCUUUGUGGACAUUCCCUCUUUUACUCCAUAGACACCCUUCUGUACCACACAUCCUUGCAUACACACAAUAAAAAUUUUAUUUGCAUUAAAAAAAUUUAUAAUAAAUCUAUAAUAAAAUAUUUUAUAAAUAUUAUUAAUAAAAAAUUUGAAGUAAAGGAAAAAAAACAAAAAAAACAAAAAAAAACAACAACAACACCAAGCAUAUUAAGAAAUAAUUUUCUUAAAAACUUAGAUGGAAUUCUGAUGAAAGAGUAAUAUCAAGUAGUAAAUAUAUAUUUUUUUUUAUUGGAUGCAAGUAUUGAAGACAAAAAAACAUUUAUAAAAUAUAUAAAAACUUAUUUUUGAAAUAAGGGGCAAGUAUAGUGAUGAACAAUAUCAUUUUUGGUCUUAUUUUGUGCUUAAUUUUUUUUAUUUGUUUUUUCUAUACAAAUAAAUUACUACAUUGCAUCAAAUAACCAAUACAAGGCAAGGUUAAGAUAGAAUUAAAAAAUCUUUGCCUAGAUUGUAACUAGAUUAGAUUAUGACUAGAUUAGUGACUUAAGAUUCUCUAUUUUACAAUUCAACUAGAUGGAAUUAUCAAAGUUCAUGAACUAAUUCUAUUAUUUUUUCAUUGUAGUGUAUUUUCAAAUUUAAUACAAAAGACGUUGUUAUAGCACUAUGUAAUAUCAAUGCAUUUGAAUCAAAUAAUUGUCGUGAGGCCAUUGUCCGACAGUGCUUAGAUUAACUUAUUUCAUUGAAUAAAGCCAUAAUUUUAUAGUCUUUGUUAGAUUCUUGUAGUAAUACAUUCUAUUGGCCAAUCUUCUUUCUUGAAAGCCAUGGCAUUACACUUCAACCAUAGCUUCUAUAGAAUUACCCUACAGAUGAGGGUCCAAAUUAGCUUUACUUUGCUAAACCGUCUUGAUAAGUUUUGGUAAAUAAACAAUGGUACCAAUCUAAGGUAAACUUUGGCUAUGGAAGAAAGUGGUAUUUUUGCAAGUUUUGUAUGAUGGUAGAGCACCAAUUCUAAGUGCAUUAGACCUUGUGACAAUGCCAAAAUCUAUAGACAAUUUUUUUAGCAAUCCAAAGGUAGAACAAACAUGAGGUAUCAAUGGUGGAGCUAAUUUUGCCAUCAAUUUAUUAAUUAUAAUUUUCUUAUAAAACAUGCUCUAGAUGAAUGCAACCUCUUUUUGGAUGCAUUUCUUGUGCUAUGUGUUCUUCCAAUUGAAAGAAAUUUUAAAUAAAAUCUAUUUUUUUAUUUGAUAUUCUAAAAUUUUAUAAAUUUUUUAGAAUUAUUGAACCACAUUUUAAUAUUGAUGGUGGUAACUAGCAAAAUUGACAUGUUACCUAGGCAAAAAAAUCUCUCAAGAUCAAACUACAGGCUAGAGAUGAAACCAAAGUAAAACCACAUGUGACAUUGUAUAUUUUUUUUAAUUUGCUCUAUUUUUUAAAUCUUUUGAGGAUACAUUAUAGAUUGAUAGCUCCUAUGAUAUUCUAGGCAUAAGCUUCUUUAGCCUCCUUUUCCAUCAUAAGCCACUAUUAGAUAUCAAAUAUUAGUGACAAAAUUUGGAUGGAUCUUAUGACUAAAAACAUGUCACCUUGAAGGUCCACAAUUAAAACAAUUAUACUAUGUUUGCAUUAUAGCUAAAGAUCUUCAAACGACUUACAUAUCAAGACAUAGAUAAUACAUCAAUUCAUUCAACCCAGACAUAGAAUUUAGUUCCAAUAACAAGAAUGUUUUCAUAUGCAGUCCUAAUUGCAUUACAAAUGUGAGCCCAUCUUUAUUCCACUUCAUCAGCAAUUGAAAUGUGUGUUGUAUAGCAAGUUAUAGUAAGAAGUCAUGACUAGAAGGUGCCUAAUAGUUAUAAACUAUUCUUAAAUUGGAUUUAUAUAGUGAUGUAAUAUGCUUCCUAAAAAACGAAAGUAAAAUAUUAGAUACAAAUUCCAAAUUAUAUUAUAGUUUUAUAUUAAAAAUGAUAUCAAAUGAAGUAGUUUGAUGCCACUUCAUGUGAGUAACUAUGGAUUUGUAUACUUUAUUUAUAUGAUUCUAAUUUUUAGAAUUUGAGGUACUUUUGUAUUAGUUGACCAUGCACCAUCUUAGAUUUAGCAAUCAAUUGUUGUCACACUCGAGUUAGAAGCAUGAAAAAAAAAAACUUGAAAAAAAUUUAGAGAUUUAACUCUCUAAGUAUGAAUGCUUAAAAUUUCCACUUAAUAAAUAAUGCCAACAUGAUGUCAUCUAGAUUUGUGAAGCUUAAGCCUUUGGAUUGUUUCUUAUGGAUGUGGAGAUGCCAUGCUAUUCAAAGUGAGUCAUGAUCAUGGCCAAUUCAUAAAUAAUUUCAAAGCAUGUUGUUGACUUCUUCAAUAAUCUUCUUAAAACCAAUCUAAACUCUAAUGAAAUACCACAAAAUUAACAUGAAGAAUUAAUUUACAAUAAGUUACCUUCCAACCAAAGAAAACUUAAUUAAAUUAUAAUAUGCAAGUUUUUGCCACACAUAGUUAAAAAGAACCUUAUGUAUAUCAUGUAAGGAGCAUGCCACACCAAAUAGAGCACCAAAGAGUUUGACAAUGUUACCUUCUUCUAUCUAUUUUUAAUCAUAUUUAUUUAUCUAAUAAGCUACUAUUUUUGAUCAAUUGAUGACUAAUCCAAAGGCUUUGUUAAAUGUAUCGAGGAUCCUUAUUAGGUUUAUAAUUCAAUUCCUCUCAAUUCUAACUAUGAAAGAAGUAUUAUCAACAUAUUAUAAGAUAAGUUGUUGGACUAUCAAACUUAGUAGCUAGACCCCUUAUAUUAAGCUUUGUUCAUGAGCUUAUCAUACUCAAGCAUUGAAAACAUCUUCCACAAUCAAAAAUAAAAUAAAAUAAAAUAAAAUAGGGAGCCAUUGAGCAACUUUGACGUAUUCCUCAACUAAUUGAAAAAGAGGAGAAUUUGAGGAGGAAAGAGGAGAUAGCUUAUCCAUUGAUAUUAACUAUUACGUCUAUACUAUAGAAGGUGAUUAUAAUCAUGUUCAAGAAUUCCUUUAGAAAGCCUAUUCUAGCAAUGGAAUGAAGUAAUAAUUGUCAAUUCAUCUAAUCAUAGGCUUAGAAAAAGUCAUGUUUUAAAAAAAUUAUAUUUUUCUUGGUCUUAUUGAUCUAUAUUAAGGUCUCAUGGAUGAAUAAUAUUCUAUCCAAAAUGAAUCUAUUUUUUGAAAAAUACUUUAAUUUAGGCUAAUGAUGCCUUCAAAGAGUUUUUAGAGUUAUUUUUGUAAUGCUUUGGCUAAGCUUUUAUAUGUUACAUUAAAGAGUAUAAUAGAGUGUCAAUUUCUAAAUAAUUUUCUAUCUUAAUCUUUGUGAAUCAGCAUUAUUAGAUCUUUGGUAACACUAUUUGAUAAAGCUUUUUGAAAGAUCACCUCUAUGAUCAUAUGUAAAUAAUCUUCUUCUACCAUAUUUUAAAAUUCUAAGAAAAAAUUAAAAGCUACUCCAUCUAGGCUAACUGCUCGCUCUUUAAUCAUAGAGCAUGUUGCUUCAUACAAUUCGAUUUUAUCUAUUGGCUACCUUAAUAUAUCUCCCAUGAGAGGUAUCAUGGUAGGAGGCAAUGCUCUUAAAAUAAUAAUUUUAGCUAUUAUCACAACAAGGUCUCUAUUUUUGGCCAUAUAUAGGGCCAAGAAGUUAUUUUUAUAUUUAACAAUAAUUGUUGUAUUACCAACAAUAGAAUGUCCUCGGAAUCCACAAAGCUUAAAAAUAAAAGAUUUCGUUAGUCUUUUUUAUGUAUUAAUAAAAAAAUCUUGGGACAGAGAGUUGCUUUUUGACUUCAAACAAGUUUAAUUUCUUAUGCAAUGGCCUUUUAGUUUGCAGGUUUUAAUAAAGGUAUUCUCUUUGCAGUAUUCUUCCAUCUCUAUUUACAAAAGCUCAUUAUUUGGAUCAAUUUGCAAAGCCUCAUAUGCAUUGGUUAGUAGAGCCUAACACUCUCUAUCUUGUCAAUAGCCAAUAUUAGUUGUCUUUAUACAAAAUUCUUUGUAUCAUCUAUUAAACUCAUAUAUCGAGGUAAAAAAUGUAGAAGACAAUUUCCAACUAUUGUCUAGAUUCUAGUAAUUAUGUCUUGCACUAUCAGUUUGCUUAAGUAUCUUGUAUUGAUCUUAUAGCACUUGUUUUUUUUUUUCUUUGUCUUUGAGCACCACAUCCAUCUACACAUAGAGGUGAUAAAAGAUGGAGCAAUGAACUUAAAUAAUAUAUUUUUGUGUUGAGGUAUUAAAACACAAAGUUUGACCAAUUGAAAAUCAAUGCUAAUUUAGUCUCUCCAUGAUUUGGCAGCCAUCCCUCUAUUUAUUACUCUACAAAUAUCUAAAUUUUCCAUAGAAUUUAAACAGAUUUUAUUAGUUAUAGAUUCUCUUUGAGUUUCUCCCAAUUAUUCUUCUUAUCAUUAAAUAAGAGGUAGCUACAUUAGGAGGAUUUAUUAUAGGACCACUCUACUAUAUUACAAUCACUAUUGAUUUAUUAGUAGCUAUCUAUUAAUAGAUUGGUGACUAUUUCUUGUUAAAAGAUAAUUCUUUUACUUUGAUAAUUAGAAGCAUAAAAAUUAAGAAUCUCUAAAUCUCUACCUAAUGGUUUGUUUAGGCGGAUCCAAAGUGUUAUAUUAUAUAUCACAGAAUCAUGACUAAUAACAAGGAGAGAGAUUUUAUUGGAUAUAAGAGAGAAAAUUCUUCAUUAUCUUGGUUCCUUCAAACCAUCUACAUUAUAUCCAAGAACUACCUCAAUUGUCCAUUAGUUGUUCUAUGGCUAGAUGUGCUUAUCAACUCAUGAGUACGUUCUCCUUACAACUUAUAUUCUUGAAUUAGUACAACAUCUACGCCACCUUCAACAUUACAAAGGUAGUUUCAAAUUCUAUCAAAUUUACAAUAGUUGUUUAACUUGCAGACUUUGAAUGUGAUAGAUAUGAGUCCUAAAUUAAGAAGUUGUCAUGGCUACGACACACUUUUGUUACUUUUGCAAAUGGUGGUUGUUGUGAAGUGCCUAGAUUCUUAUUAAUAAAGUAUGUUGGACUCUUACUUGGGCUCUGACUCUACAAAGAGAUUGAUGUAAUAAAAUUUAAGGUUGAAAUCCUAUGAAUCUUCUUACAUUUGUCUCGUGACAUAAUUUGCAUUGUUGGUAUAUGAUUUACGACCAAGCAGGCUUUUUUAUUGAAUGCUAGACAAACAUUAAGGUUGAAGGGAGACAAGUAGCUUUCUUCUCCCAUCUUUGGAAUUAUAUUAGUUGUUAGGUUCGAUUCCAAUACAUUGUCAAAAAAAUAAGAUAGGAUAUUUAUUGAGCACCUUGUGCAUUGCUUAGAUAGAGGGGAAAAACAAAGGAAGAAGUGGAAGGGGUGGAGGGAAGAAGAAAGAGAAUAUCAGUAUUGCCUUUGACUCCUAUGGUUGGUCAAUGAUUAGGAGAAUUUGGCUCUUUUAGAUCUAAGGGAAUUUAUUUCAUAAAUAUUGGUUGACUUAUGUCUUCUUCUUCUUAUAACUUCUUUGAAUUAGGAAGUUGUGAUUGUUGCCUCAUCAAGAAGAGAGGUGGUCUUGAUACAAGUAUAGAAGGCAUUGGCUAACUUGAGGCCUAAGUAUAAGUGCUUAGAAAUAUGUAGUUCUUAGAGAUAUGAGGUAGCAAUCAAUGUAGUUAAUAUUUUGUAAAUGAUUAGAAAUUUCAAUAGAAUUUUAAGUUCUUUGGAACUUCCAAAAAAGUUGAGACCUCUAUUGGGAUGGAAUUACAUUUUGCAAAUUUCCAAUUUAGUCCUCAAUCUCCAAUUCCAUUUCCUAUCUAUUGUUAGUAUCAAAGACAAUGCAAAAGUAAGGCUUGAUAAAUAAAUUAUUGUUGGCAUCUAAUGCUAGUAUCUUAUCCAAGUUAUUUGUGAUUUUUGAAGCCAUGCAUGAAAAUUGCCACAAGCGCCUUCUUAAUAUAAUAUAGGUAUGGAUCAACAUACUUCAUUUCAUAUUUGGGUCAAAGUGAGGUAUCCAUUGUUAAAAGAUGUACAUGAUUUCAUCAGCCUUUAAGAGUGAAGAUGAACACUAGUAGUUGACAUGCCACUUCUUUGCUUAACUAUUUUAAAUAAAAAAUGAUGUGACUAACAUUAUUGCUAGCUACAAUAGUUUCAUUACCAAGUCUUGCAUUUAGAAUUGCCAGCCAUGUUGCAAACAUUGAAGGGGUGGGUUUCUUCCCUAAGAAGGUGCCCACAAGCAUGUAGUCUUCUAAGAGUCUCUCUUUGGCUACUACAAUGUCAUCUAAAACAUGUGAACAUUUCUUGUCACUCUUGAUUAGGAAGCAGGCAUUGUUUCUUGUCAAAUUGUUCAAUAAGCUUUUUCCUAGCCCUCAGUUUGGUAGAAUUAAGCAUGAGCCCUUUGCAUUGUCUCUGUGUUGCAUCAAUAGAUUUAUCUCUACUGACAUCAACUAUGGUUUUAUUGCUGCUAUUGGUCAAGGUGACAGCCAACAAGUCUAUAUGGACCACAUUGGCAUAAGAAAGAGACAUUGGAUGAAUCUAGUAACCUAAUCCCAAAAUUCCUUGUUUGAGAUAAGUGUCCCCUUGGGUGCCAACCAGGUCUUUCCUCUGAGAAUAAGUAGUGCAAGAUGUUAGUAUUGUGUAGUUGGUGAUCAAAGCAUACACAAGUAUGCAAUGGCGAUCGAUCGACUUCGCCAAACAAAUAUGCAUGUCGCACUACAUCAUUUGUACUUCAUCCGCCCGUCGGCCGAGUGAUGGUUGCCAGGUAAUUGCCUACGAUUCAGUGCGCAACUCACCGACGGUCAGCAAUGUUCAAAUUCGUCAGAAGCAGAGACAGGAGUUAAGGAUUCAAGGUUUGAGGUUUAUACAAAUAAAACGAAAAGUUGUUAUUGAAUAUGUUAACUUUUUAAGCCCUAGAAGCUUAACCUUCCAGAUAGGGUUUGAAGGGUUAAGGUUCUAGGGUUUUUUAUAACAUUUUGAUACAAGGUUUCAUUAGGAUUUUGUGUUUAUGUAGUAGCAGGUCGGUUUCGAUUCCUUCACGACCCAUCCCCACUACUGCGGAAGUUCGGGAGAUGGAGACUGAAAACUCUCAGCCAUUUAUGCUUACCUACCCAAACAGUUUCUUCGGAGUGAGGGCAAGGUGUUGUAGAAAGGCAGCACAACGAAUAAUGUAACAACGUUCCCACACAAAUUCAUACAUAGCAGAUAAUCAAGGUGUAAUCUAUCUUCAUCAGAAAUCCUGUUUACUAAUUACGAGCCAGUGACAUGGCUGCUUUCGUGAGUAUACAAGGCACAUUCAACGAUAACGCUACACCUUUCAACUAUCAAAAAUGAAAACUCGCCUCAAGGAAGACCUGUCAUGUCGACAAGACAUCAGCAUCACAACGGCACCUAUCCUUUCUUGUCUGGUCUCGCAACUACCUAAAGCCACGCGAAGGCAUAUUCCGACAUUAUUGGUCAAAGUUUUUUCCUAAUUGAUCACGCUCAGUCUUCUGGAAGUCUCCUUGCAUAGGUGAUAUUCUGUAAACGAUCGUGACAAGAGUUCCAGAGAUGUAGCAGGUCUUCUAAGCAGUUAAAGAGUACUGACAACCAAGUUUCUAAUUGAGGUUGGCCUUUACUCCAGCCAUGUGCAAGAUCAGGUCCACAACUCGGUUGCUGCAAAACAUUCACACAACAGUCAAGACAAAACCACAUCUUACCCGUAACCGACACCGCCCAAAAGUACACGAUCCACAACACCAGAGAUUACACC